GGGCAAGAUGAAGUGAUCUUAGAAGCUUCAUGUUAGAGAAUAUAAUUUGAAGAAUCUCGAGAAUCUUAUUGUAGUCGUCCUCCUUUUUUUUAGGACACUUAGUUAGGUCUACUUUCCUGGAAUCCGGUGCAACUAAAUAUAAGGUUCGCAAUUUAUUUGCCUUAUUCAAAACUUCUAGAACCGACGAUAUUGGCUCGUUUUCGCAGAGAAAUGAUGAAUAACGUGUGGUUGAAGCAAUGUCUCUUUUGGUACCACUAGGGUCAACAAUUGAGCAUUCUUCCCCUGCAACGGACUGUGCAAGAUCGUGAACUAGGUCAUGCAUUUUUAUACUAAAUACUACACCAUCUGAGCCUCUCUCAUGACUCUCAAAGAGAGAUCUUGAUAAUAACUCAUCCACAUAGCGCAAACCAAUAUCAGUCAAUUCUGCUCGCCUAUCUAAUGACCGAACGAAGCCUUCUGCAAUCCAAAGUUGGACUAAUUUGUUUAUAUAUAUCGGAGUAUCCUUCGCAAAUAUGGAGCAAUAUGCAAAGCAUUGCUUCAAGUGUGAUGGCAAAUGAUUGUAACUCAACCUUAGGGCGGGUAAAAUUUCAUUCUCUUCAUCUGGUAAGUUCCAGAUAUCAUUGUCCCUAAUUGCCAACCACUCGCUUUCCCUUCGCUUGAAUCGCAUUAAACUACCUAAAGCCUUUGCUGCCAAGGGAACACCGCCGGCUUUCUUCACAAUCCCUUUUGCGAUGGUUACCAAGUUUUCUGUCUUCUCUCCGGCAUCCAACCCGAAUGCUCUCCGCUCAAACAACAACCAGCAAUCAUCCUCCGAUAGACUGCGCAAAAUGUGAGGCUCAACCGUGCCCAUCAAAGAGGCAACUCUUACGCUCCGAGUGGUCACUACGACCUUACUUCCCCUGCCGCCGACGGUCAGCAAAGUCCUCAAUCUAUCCCACUUCUCAGAAUUCUCAUUCCAAACAUCAUCGAGCACAAGCAAGAAUCUCUUUCCUUCCAGCCUUUCCAUAAGCGAACGCUGCAUCGACUCCAUGCUCGCGAGAUCAAACUUUGCUCCGGUUACAGAUUCCACGAUCGAUCUAAUAAGCCGUCUAGAGUCAAAAUCAUCAGAGACACAAACCCAUAUCAUCUUCUCGAAAUGGCCGCACACCCUUCGAUCACUAUAGACUAACUGCGCGAGAGUCGUCUUACCGAGCCCUCCCAACCCAACAAUCCCAAUAACCCCAGGAUCAACCUCACUUGACAUGGCCAGCAGAAACUCAACUAUCAUUUCUUUAUCCUCCUCUCUACCGUAAACCUCCGAUUCGACUACAAAAGACCCGGUUUCCGCUCUUGCUGAAUUCUCUAUCUUACAAUCAUGUACCACUCCCUCGCGCAAAUGAAACUUCGAUCUCUCGUCCGCAAUCUCAUCUAAUCUCUCCCUAAUUUUUUUAACCUUCCUGGCUAUUCUAGACUGAAACAUGAUAGAGUUGGGGAGGGAAGACAGCUUACCGAGCACCGCCUUUGUGCCGCUUCCGUUCCGGCGGGACGUCCUUCUGAGUGCUUCGGCGGCGGCGACCUCGUCGAGCACGUCGUCGGCGUCGAAUGCGGCGUCCUUGAGCCUCCUCAGCCACCCGGCGAGAGCUCGCUCCUGCGCCUGCCGCGCCUCCGCGUCCGCGAGCACGUCGCGGAUCGCGGCGAGGGUCGUCUCCAGCUCGUUCAGCUCUUUCUCGACGCCCAUCACUAGCCCGAACUCCUUCGUGACCUGGGCUCCCAGCUUGUCAAACACCAACCUCAGGAGGCUCGAGCUCACUACGUCUGCCAUUGUUGCUAGCAAUUUCUCUUCUCUGAGUGCUUCCUCUGAUGCUUUUGUUGCGAUGGAAUCUAAUUAAAUACUAGUCACCAAAACACAGAGAGAGAGAGAGAGAGAGAGAGAGAGAAGUUUCUGGGAAAUGAGUGCUCUAUAUUUGGUGCUUUUGCAAAAAGCGAGUCAAGAAGAAGCGAACAAAUGUAGUUAUGAGAUUCUUGAGUGGAAGUGACUUGUGGGGACGAAGUAGGUUGUGACUUGCGAGGAGGCCUCACCUCUCAUUGCGCGUGUAGAGAGAAAAGGCAAAGAGGAUAACUAUAUAAAGAAUAGUAGGAAAUGAAGAAGGGAAAGAGAAAAGGCGAAACAGGGAGCGGGGACUGCCUUCGGCCUAAUCCCGGGUGGGCCUGCCAAAUCCCCGCCGUCCUCCCCGUUCAGAUUUCAUGCAACUUCUGCCUCUAUAUGACUCCUUUAAUUUGCAACUUUCAGCUCAUUUCUUGCAGGAGAAGAGCGAAAUCUCUCCCGCGCGUCCUGUUAAUCACCUGCCGCGAUGCAGGUAGGAAUUUGUUGGGGGAAUGUGGGAACAACAUUUCUCGACACAAUUUCAUAGUUAUUUGGUACUUACUAUGUGGAUAUUCGGACAACUCAAAUAUAAAAGUUUCCACAGCUACAGUUUUAAAUAGUUUGGAUUCACAACAUAUAAUUUCCUAGGAACUCCAACAAUUAAGAUUUUAUUUAAAAUUUAAAAUUUAACGAUUUAUGACGGCUCGCUUCCGGUUUAGCACUUUCUUUGUAUAGUGAAUUUGAUGGCUUUAUUUGUUUGAUUUGAAUUUAGAAUUUACUGUUUUGAUAUCAAGUUAAAUAUUAUUAAAUAAUCUUUUUUCUUCCAAAACUUACACUACCGUAUAACAAUAUUUUUAAUAUUAAUAUUCAACAAUAUCAAUUAUCUAUUUGCAUUAAAAAUUCAUAUAUCUCAAAAAGGCCAAAAAAAUUGGAUAACUUAUUAAAUUUGAAUUUUAAAUUUAAUAAAGAAAGUAGUAGAAUACAUAAGUGAAUUUGAUACUUUUAUUUUCGAGAGAAGAAAAUUACGAUGCAGUCGAAACUGCAAGAGUUCUUUUUUUUCCAAGAUGGCCCCACAAUCCAUAUAAUUGUAUAACACAAACAAAUUUACCAAAUUUAAAGUCAUAAAAUACAAGGAGAAUUCAUUUGCCGCAAUAUUUGUAGCAAAAUUUAUUUUUCAAAUAAAUGAAAAGAAUGGCGUGCUAUCUUUAUCUCAAAAAAAAAAAGAACAAACCAGCAAAGAAUAGACGUUAGAGACGCGGAAACAUCAACACAUUUUCUUAUAUAUAUAUAUAUAUAAUAUAAUAUAAUGGGCAUCGUAUUGACUGCCAUUUCUUUUCCAAGCCUCUCAUCGACUGAUCGAACUGUAUUGACCCCAGCAUAGAUCUUAUCUGUUAGUCCGACCUUCUUGCCGAACUCCGCAACCUUCGCUGCAGGCGUGGACGAGACCUGAUGAGACUCGUCGAAAGCUUUGGCCUUGAUCAUAGCAUCCUUGCUUAGCUCGUAGCCCUUCGAGAGCAUCGCUUUGACCACGUCUUGUGCCAUCGUGAAUGCUUCCCUCAGGGUUGUGUUGAACUGGUACGACCGUUCAGUCUGCUUGCGUUUUCAAUGUUAAUAUGUUGAGAGGUACUGAAGAAUUACGAUAAAAAGAAGAACAAUAAAAAGAAGAUGCGUACACUGGACUCAGUAUCAUCUUCAACCUUCCAAGAGGGCCUGUCCCAGAAAUUACAAGCUUCCUCAUAUUGUCCCCAGCGAGUUAUGCAUACUGGUUGAUCCACAAUGGUAGCUCCCUGAGAAUACCAGGUGUCAAUGGGCUUUCAUACAAGUACUAUCAUGAUAAUUAAAGAUGAAGAUGUGGGCGGUAGAACACUAUCAAUGAAAAAAUAACCAGCUGGCCAAAUAUAAAUAUCACAGCUUAAGUUACAACCCGAUAGAAUGCAACAAAAUGAAUGAUGCGUUGGCCUUUGUUUGUGGAAGAAUGAAGUAAAGAUUUCGUUCAGGGAGCUGACUUAGACAAACAAAGAGAUUAAAUAAAAACAAAAGACAAAAAGAGAUGGAGAAUUUUCCAGCAUCGAAGAACUGGAAACAGAAUUACACUAUGAAAGGCAGAACUUAAGAUUAAAGCAAAGACAAUAUUCAAGAGACUUGCACUAUCUUAGAUAAUCGUGACAUACAAUUACUAUUCCCUUACAAGUGUGGCAGGAAAAUAAAAUAAUUAGAAUAUAAGUAAGCAUUUUUGUUAUUAAAACAAAAGCAUAAAGAACGGGUAGAAGUAAAUCCAUAGAUAGAAAAUCAAUGUAUUACAUCGUAAAUAUCCUGCAAUGCUAGGGAAUGUAGUUGUGCAAGUUUACAUAACCAACCACAGUUGGCAGGCUUUCCUGCAAGAACUUACGCUUAGCAAUACUGCAGUCUCUAAGGCAUAAGGCUCUUUGAAUGUUACGUAAGCAGUAGAACCGUAAUCCCCAGAUCUGUUUGGAAAUGCAUCACAAAACAGAUUAAUUAUACAAUUGAUGAGAAUUAACAGUAGUAUCUAAGAAUGAGAAAAAACUUGAUCAGAUCAAUUUUUGCACAUGGUAAGCCAUACAAAAUUAGGUUCAAAAUGUAUAAGAGAAAUUAUUAGUCUGCAAAAAAAGGCCAUCAGGGCAUAAUUAAUUGUUUUGGUUCACAACGACAUACAGAUCAAACCGGCAAAAUCCUUAAACACGCAAGAAUAUACUAAAUGCUAACCAGGGAAUGGGAACAGGAACUCAGACACAACUUUAACAAUUUACCGAGGUUUGAGAUUCAUUUAGAAACCACGAUUUCCAUUUAAUGAACUGUAAAUUCUGCAGGACAACAGUGAAAAGCCAAGAUCAUUGAUUCCAAAUGCGGAAUUUCAUACACCAAGCAAUUCUACACACAAAAACGGAUUAAGCGCUCUCUCAGUCAAAGAAAAACAAAGGUUUCAGAUUGCUUAGUCGCGCGCAAACAAAAUAUCACCUUGUAAUUUCAAUAUGCUCGAUAAAGCCGGAGAAAGAAAAGAAGUUAUAGAGAUCUUUCUCGGCUACUUUACUGGAGAGGUUUGUAACUUCCACUGUAUACCGGCCUCCGCUCAUGAUCCUGCAAAUUUGCAACCAGAGAUGGUGCCUGUGGUGUCACACGAUGAGUAAAUAACCCCAAGCAUUGAUUUCAACAUCGGCUUUAUUAGAUAUUGGAUUCUUCUAUCGUAAGUUCACAAUAAGCUAUUCCAAGGCCAAGUAUUGAUUUAGACCUAAAUUUGUGGAGCUAAAUUAGGGUUUUAAGUCAAAUACAAGACCUAAAUUUCAAGUCAUCUAGAAUCCUCUUUACUCGGGAUCUCUCACAUAGCUUUUUUUUUUAAAAAAAGAAGAGCAGCGAUUAAAAACGAGGCUCCAAAGAUUAUGUAAGACGAGUACUAAUUGAAUAUUUAGAUCUUUCACAAAAAGUAAUUGUAAUACUCCUCUUUGAGAUAGAUAUAAGCUUGCACCCGAAAACAAAUUCGGAAAAAGAAAAGGAGAAAGUUUUAAAAGAACCUACAAAAUCCUGAUUUCGUUAAAACUGCAUAGAUGAUAGCUUACUUGGAGUGCUUCUUCUUCAGCUUCUGCUGCCAAGUGCGAAGAGAGAGCUGCUUUUCUUCACAAUUCCGUACAUAAAAUAUACUCUGUUCGAUUCGGUGUUAGUUUCUUUUCACCCUGGAACAAGGAGAAUCGCGAAAUUACUUCCAAGCCCCUGGAAAGUAGAACCUUCAACUUUACAACCAUGUUGCGGCCCAAAAAUAUGGGCCCAAGAAGGACCCCAAAAAGAUUGGGCCGUAGAAGCAGCCCAAAAACGACGAGAUCUAUAAUUGCGAGCACGUUUCUAAACUUUAAUUUUUGUUUCAAUUAAAACACGUCGAUCUUAAUAGAAACUGCCAAGUUGGCACCAAUAAAUAUUUACUCCGCCGCAUGACAAUUUAUUUUAGAAUUGUGAUAAAUUUUUUUUUAUGAUUGAGAUUUAAUUGAAAUUUAAAGAUUGGAAAUCUAAUUGUCAUUAAAAAAAAAAUGUUGGAGGCUAAAAUAAAAAAAGAUCAGAAAAAAAAGUUGCGGAAAAUAUUGACGGAUGGGAUGGGAUUGAAUGAAGUGUUAAUUAUAGAUGAGAGCUAAGUUCCGGCCGGGUUGGAUUUGGAUCAAGCUAUCUAGCUUGUUUUAACAUAAGCCCAGUUGAGAAAUUUUUUUAGAAAGUUUUAGCUUUAGAAAAUUUUAAUUAUAUAUAUUUCAUGUUAAAAUAUUCAUUCUUUUAUUAAGGAGAUAUGCAAGCUGUUAAAUAACUUUACUUGUUUUUUAAAAAUUUAAAAUAAUUAAUUGUUAUACAAUUAUUCAAUUUAAAAAAUUACCUUCAAAUAAAAAAAAAUAUAAAUAUAUAGACGGGCUAUAAAUUUUGCCAACUAAAUUUUUAACAUUAAUUUCGGGCCCGGUUCGAACUCUAAUCGAGUUCUAACUCGAAUCGAGUUCUAACGGUCUAAUCCAAUUCCUAGUCCCUGAGUCGAGUUCUAACGGUCCUAUCCAAUUCCUAGUCCGAGUAGGAGACCACUAUGUAACCGUUACACUGAAACGUAAUCCUAAUCCGACUUGGAGUCGGAUUACGCAACGGCGCGAAAAAAACUAGCCGUUGCGCCCUUCGCCAUUCUCCCUAUAAAUAAGAUCCCUCACUCCAAAUCGCGCACACUCCGCUCCCCAUUUCCCUCGAGGACGAAGAGGGGGAAAGGGUUCCCUCAUGGGUUCUUCGUCGCCUUCUCCCCCAAAAAGGUUUGCUUCUUCUUCUCCUCCUCCUCCUUUCUUCCUUUUGAUUUUUUUAGGUUUUUUUGUUUUCGUAUUGUUGGUUUCGCGAUCUAAUUCAUUGUAGGCGCAUAGAUUUCUUAUUUUGAUCUGUUUCCCUUUUCUUCGUGGAUUUUGGAUUAGAGUAUGGGAUUUUAUGCCGGUUUCUUAUUUCUAUGAGCAUGAAAGAUUGGAUUCUUUCACAAAUUCGGUUUCUUGAAACAAAUUAGAACUGGCUUUAAUUUUUAAACUAGUUUUCCAUUAUUUUAUGUGUAUCUUGGGCCAAAUCUAGGGUUAAAUUUGAAGCAAAUUUGUCUAUUUUUCAGGCGCAGGAUUUAUGUGAUGGUUAUCUAUACCGAGUAUCCCUUUAAAACUAGUUUUCCAUCAUUUAUGUGAAUCUUGUUAAAUUUGGUAGCCUAGUUUUAAUUCUUCGAAUACAAUACGUAGAAUCACUUAGGAAAGUUGGUUUCUCGAUGUUAAAUUGUGUACACCAUCAUCCGAGAUAUGUGUAUCAGGUGUUUGUUCCUUGAUAUAUUUGAUGACUUCUCUCAUCGUGUUGUGAAUCUAAUAACAACGCUCUCCAAUUUGGGAAAUAAUUCUUUUUUUUUCCUCUUAUUUUUGCGUCGUUAUUCUUGCAUUCUUCUGUGAGUAAAGGAUCUUUUUUAUCUGAUUGCGAGGUGAUGGGUUCAUCCAAGAUCAAUCAACCAUUGUUUCGAAAGAGGUAUUCCAGAGGCUUCUUGCCAAUACCCUUCUCCAAAUAAUGGAUCUUUAAUGGGAUCCGGCUUCAAAAGUGCUUGUUCCUUCAAUCAAACAAAUCGGUGAGGCAGAUGAGGUACAGGGACUCUUGUUAGUUGUUUAGUCAAAAAAUAUGUUUAGAUUGAUGUGACGAAUUUGAUCAAUAUUUGAACUUCUUGUGAUAUAUUUGUUUUAAAUCCCUUCUCUUCCUUAGUAUACAGCUGAGAUUUUUUAGAGGACUUGAUCAGUAUCAAUUCAGCAUGGUACAUUCAAUAGGAAAUUCUUGUUGGCUUCUUGUAGAACUACUGGAUUAUUGCACUGAUGGGUCUUUUUCUUGUGAAUUAUUAUUACAGAGCUCCACGACCAAGAAAACAAGUGCCAAAACAUGUGACCAAGAAAGCAAGUGCCAAAGCGUAUGGCCAAGAAAGCAAAUGCCGGUCUUUUUCUUCAUUUUAACUGCAAUAUAUGAUAAGUAAUCCAUCACUUCUCUUCUAUAUUUUCUACAUUCUCUGGUGUUAUUAGUUUCCUUAAUUCAUCUUUCUCUUUCAGCUUUAUACUUGAAUUCUCAGGAGGUUCCACGACUCUGGUGUAAAGGUCAGUUAUAUUUGCAAUGAUUUAUACUGCGCAAAGAGGAUAGCAAUGGUGGAAAAGUAAGAGUAACAUUUCAUUCUUAAUUAUCAUAAUAUUUAACUCGUUGCUAGUUCUCUAACAUUCUUCCAUCUCGAUUUUUCUUUUUCUAAGGAAUCACAGGAAACUAAUGUCAUUUUAAAAUUCAUAAGGUGUUAAAGGUUCACUUAAUGAUCUCAUUAUCUUUCAACUAGCAUUUGUCGAACUGGACUCGAAGUUUGAUUUUUAUUGUAUUUUCUAUCCUUUGGAGACUACAAGAAUUUAUAUUUUAUCUUUUCAACCUUUUUAUGUGAUCCAUGAAUUUCAUUUUAAUUACCUUUCUGCUCCUUUGCAGUUUGUAGUUUCACAUAUUUUGGUUAAAGAGAUGCAGCAAUUAUGCCGUAAGUUAGCUGUGUUCUAAAUGGUCUCAACCAUGCAGGGAGGAGCUAUAAGGUACUGAUAUAAUGGACUGGUAAGUUACACUAUUUAUCGACAUAUGAAGUUCUCUCUAAUUAAUGACUAAUUCCAGUGUUUUGUUUCACUUUUUAGUUGAAAGAAUUUUGUCUUCUGAACAGGUAUGCAUGUUUCCGGUAGUUAUAGCUCCUUUUAUCUUACAGCCUGCAAGAUCUUCCUGUCAGGGUAGGAUUAAAUAUGUCUUCGCAUGAGAUAUACGGCAAAUUAGAAUUACUUGGAACUUCAUCUUUAUAAACAAUUUCUCAUGGCCUACAACUCAAGUCUCAGGUUCCCAGAACGUGGUGGUUCGGUGCUCUUUCUCAUCUAUUUAAGCUUAUCUAAUCAUAUACCGCGAGAGGAGAAUACGUGAUUUUGAUCCAUGUUUAACAAUGAGGUACUUUUGACUCAGAUGUUCAUCUAAGAGACGUUAAUCUAUCGGCCAACUUUUAAUUCUAAUGUAUAAACUUUUACUGUUUUUCCCUUGUAACAGGCAUAAUUCAAAACAAAUCUUCUUGACCAGUUUGAAAUGAAUUUUGAGACUGUUUUCAUUAAUUUAUGAACUUGUGCACGGCAAGUCUUUUUUUUUUUUUUGAAAAGAUUUGAUUAACUGUUUCAUCUGGGUAUAAUCCAAAACAAAUCUUCUUGUCCAGUAGAAAUGGGAUUCGAACCUGCUUUUGCAAGAAUUCAAAGAAAGAACUUUUACAUUUAAGGAGAAAUUUGAACUCGUUCAAGCAAUAUAUAAUCUCUGGUAUGAUUCCUCAACUGUAUAUAUUUUCUUUCCGAAACUGUAUUAUAUCACUAAUCUGUACUAUAUUACUAGCUUAAAAAAAAAUAGAGCUUCAUAUGUUGCAUUUAUUAUCUAUUUAAUUAAUUGGUCAUUUGUUGGGACAGGUUGGACUCGGCUAGUCCUCUAACAUUCCUCCAUCCCGAUUUUUCUCUCUAAAGGAAUCACAGGAAACUAAAACCAUUUUAAAAUUCAUAAGGCGUUAAUGGUUCACUGGGUGAUCUCAUUAUCUUUCACCUAGCAUUUGUUGAACUAGACUCCGAGGUUGGUUUUUAUAUUAUUUUCUGUCCUUUGGAGACCACAAGAAUUUAUAUUUUAUCUUUUCUUCUUUUUUAUGUAUUCCAUGAAUUUCAUUUUAAUUACCUUUCUUCUCCUUUGCAGUUGUAGUUUCACAUAUUUUGGCCAAAGAGAUGCAGCAAUUAAGCCGGAAAUUAGCUGUGUUCUAAAUGGUCUCAACCAUGCAGGAAGGGGUUAUAAGGUACUAAUAUAAUGAACUUGUAAGUUACACUAUUUAUCAACAUGUGAAGUUCUCUCUAAUUAAUGUUCUCUCUAAUUAAUGACUAAUUCCAGUGUUUUGUUUCAUUCUUGUGAAUAGUUGAAAGAACUUUUCUUCUGCACAGGUAAAUGUAUGUUUUCUAUAUAUAUAGCUCCUUUAUUUACAGCCUACAAGAUCUUUCUGUCAGGGUAGGAUAACAUAUGUCUUAGCAUGAGAUAUACAGCAUAUUAGAAUUACUUGGACCUCUAUCUUUAUAAACAAUUUCUCAUGGCCUACAACUCAGAAAUUUGAUUAGGCGAUGCCUGGAAUUCGGGUUAUUCCGCUUCCCCUAAGACCUUUUUCCUCAAAAGCACUAGGGUCUCCUACCCUCGUUUUAAGAAAAUGUAAUGCAUAAUGUAUAUAUUCAGUAUAAUAUGUUACACCUGAUAUGCAAACUGAUCACCUCAUUGCAGGAUUAAGGAGCAUAAUGUUAAAAUACUUGCUUUCAUUUUCUUUCUUUCUUCAUGAGCCAAAGUUUAGUUUUCUAUUUGUGUGUUUAAUAGCAUUUCUAAUCAUUUACUGCACUGUUUCAUUAGAAACUUGAGAAUAGAAGUUUGAGAUUGGCAGAUCUGCAUGUGUAAGCAGGUGCACAUAUUUAAUGGGCUUUUAACCCUCUUUGCAAGGAGUUAACAUAAAGACACUAUGGUCUAUCGGCUGAUUUUACUAGAUAGUCUAAUAACAAUCUGUCUUGGUUUUCUACGAUUAAUACUUAUCAUCCAUAUAUCUUAUUUGGAGUUAAUCUAAAUUCAUCUUGGGCAAGCGAUUUACUUAGUUUUUAUUUUAGAGAUGUUAACGCGACUUCUGCUAACUUGUGAUCUACUAGAGUAUCGAUUACUAAAUUUGUUAACCCAUUUUGAACUCUGUUUCAUCAUCAUGCAGUUUCCUGGUACAAUCUCUAAUUUCUGUUGCUUGCAUAUUUGAUAUUUCUUUUGUGAGAAGCUCGUCUUAAAAUAUGCUUUACUGUGCCAUUUUCUGUACAUGUUGGCAGAAUGAUAGGGCAGUUAAAUGCUGUCAUCAGUCGAGCAAUACCCUCAAUGGUUCGAAAUCGCAAUUGCUACUACUAUUAUUGGAAAUCUAUAUGAAUUGUAUGUAAAAUUUCUAUAACAUAAUGGCAUAGCCAUGCACGGCAAGGACAACACGCUUUUGGUGAUCAUUACAUUUUUUGACUGUUAGAAUAAGAAGAAGAUAACUUGUUAGGGAGAAAGUAACCACAAAUAAACCCUAUAUUUGCAGCUGAUUAGUGCUAUUUAAUCCAUAUUUGUAUUUAAACUUCUUCUUCCUUUCAUAUUUGCAGCUGAGAACUUGCGAAAAGUUGAUCAGUGUGUCUCAAGUCAAUUUGUAACAUUCGAUCAAAUACAAAAUUCCUGUCGGGUAUUGCACUUUUUCUUUUUUGAAAGGUUAGGGGAGGGUUCCUCCAACACUAUAUUGAUCGAGUAUUACACUAAUGGAUGUACUUUUCUUCUCUCUUUUGGGCAAGCCCUGAUAGUGGCACGGUGGCUGGACGAAGCACCAAAACCUACAACCAAGUGGCAAGUGCUAGUCAUUUUUCCAGUUUAAAUGGCAUUAUGGGACAAUUAAAUGAGAUAUAACGCUUCGUCUAAAGACUGCUUUCUGUUUAAUUGUUAUUUGCAAUUUCUUUCACUUUAGAAUGUUGUUGCGAUCAGAUUUUCAUAACUGAGUCUUAUUACUAAGGAGAUUAUUUUCGCAAGCAGGUUCCCAGACCGUUGGUGGUUUGGUGUUCAUCUUCUGUUGGCCACAACAAGGUACCAGUGUGCACCAAUCAUUUAGUCGUUUUUAUUUAAGCUUACCAUAUACUAAGAGAGGAUAAUAUGUGAUUCUGAUCCAUGUAUGAGGUACUUUUGACUCAGAUGUUCAUCUAAGAGAUGUUAAUCAACCGGCUAAUAUAUAAACUUUUUACUUUUUUUUUCUCAAAACACAAUUAAAAAUAAAUCUUCUUGUCCAGCUUAGAGGAAGUUUGAGCCUGUUUUUACUAAUUUAUAAACCUUGUGCACCGCAAGUCUUUAAAAAACUUUUUUUUUUUUUUGAAAGGUUUGAUUAACUGUUUUAUUUGAAAACGGUGUAAUACAAAACAAAUCUUCUUUCCAGUUGAAAUGGAAUUCAAACCUGCUUUUGCAAGCAUACGAAGAAAGAACUUUUGCAUUUAAGGAGAAAGUUGAACUUGUUCAUCUAAAAAUUUUAUCUCUCGUAUGAUUCCUUAACUGUAUUUUUUUGUUUGUUUUUUUAAGCUAGUAAUAUAGGAAUAUAGAGCUUCAUAUGUUCCAGUUAUUGUCUAUUUAAUUAAUUGGUCAUUUAUUGGAACAGGUUGAUUUGGCCGAUUUCGCUAGAACAUAACGCUUUUAGAUUUUGUCAUAGAGCUAGUUCUCAAAACUCAUGGAGUAACUUAGGGGUGUGAAACUGCUAAACAGAAUAACCGGAUAUAUCCGAUGGUCUAGGUCCGGUUUAGAUUUUCUUUAUUAUUUUGAGAAAAAAAAACCGGUUUGGUUUGGGUCAAUAUGAGAGGAACCGCAUAAUUUUGAUUCAGGUUUUGGUUCUGAUCAUGAGAAUCGGCUUAAACCAGACCAACCGGGUAGUGCUUCAUAUAUUUUAAACCGAACCGUUUGUUCUACUUAUAGUCCAUUACACGUGACACUGAAAAGCGUUAUUACGUGAUGAAGCGCAGGAUAAGCAUAAAGGCAACGGACGAGGUCUAUAUAAUGGUUUCGCGGCCUCUCUACGCGCUAUUCCAAUCGGUAACAAUCCUCUUCUUCUUCUCUCCUCCUCCUUUCUCCCGCCUCGUCGACGACUCCGAAACCUACGAAACCGAAGUGCGAACGAAACCCUAAGGUAUCAACUUGAUUUCUCUUAAUCUUCGAAGGAUCCUAUUUCUUUUCCGUCCUAAAAAUUUGAUCUCUCUUUUUCUCCCUCCAGUGUGAUGAAGGAUCGGAUCCCUCUUCCACUCCCUCGAUCGAAUCCUCAAUUUGAGCCGACAUUGAUCUCGAUCUCGAACUGUGUUGUCGAUUUGAUAUCAAAGGAUCCCUGAUCAAUUAAAGUCUAAGUACAUUUUGAUCUAAGGAAACGAGAUGAUUCUUUGAGGUGAACUAUAUCGUUCAAUGCUUGAUCUUGAUUCUGCUGCGUUUGAUUUUGUUGCUGCUUUUAUUCAUGAUUCAUGAACCUGCUGUUUGAAGGAAAAGAUUGAGGAAUUUGCGGAGUUUUGCACCUGGUGAAGAAGGAAUCUGAUUUUUUUUUUAAAUUUCGAAAUAACUUUCUAUAUUGCGCCUAAGUUUACUUUCUAGUACUAUUUCACAGUUCCAGCUGAAUUUACUUGCAGGAAGCUGAUUGAUAAACGAACGAGAAGAAGAAAAGGGUUUAGCUGGUAAAUCUGAUGCUUCAACCGAAGUUCUAGAAAUAGGCGACUCUUUUCAUCUGAUGUGCUAUUGUGUUUGUGAAUUUCAGAAAAGCCAAUCAAAAAGUUUCUAGUUUCAAAUAGUUUAGACAGAGGCACAGAGCUCUUUAGACCAAAAUAUAUAUGAAUUCUGCGCAUGGUUCUAUCUUAACAUCACUUGUAGGCACACAGGACAAGGGGUUUAUGUAUUGUCUCCUGAGUGACUAACAAUUGGAAAUUUGUUAAAGGAUUUACCUAUAUAGGCUAUCUAACCUCAUCAUGAGUCUGAGGCAAAACAUCUUGCUUCUACUAUUUGAUUGGCUUUGUUGUGUUUAAUUACUCUGAAGAUUAUCUGAUUUAUGUGCUUCUUAUGUUGGUGCUAGCAUGGUGAUAGUGUUAUUACAGGGAAAUAAAGUAUAUUCGUAUUACAGGGAAAUAAAGUAUAUUCUUCUUCCAGGCAUGCAAACUAUUGAACUUAUGAUGCCUAUGAGUCUAUUGGAACACUGCUUCUCAACAUUAGAUUUUUGUAGAAUACAUAAACUUUAAUUCAAAACAAGAAAUGGAAUCAGAAUCCAUAACUUACAGGAGGCAUGCGGAUUCUACUCUUUCUUUGCAUUUGAAGUUAUUGGAUCAAAAUUGCCAAAUGUUACUAAAUUAUCUGAAUAUUAUUGAAUUUUCUCAUUCUGCUAUUUGCUUUUGAACUCUCCAGGCAUCCAAAUAUGGGACUCAAACUUCAAUCGGCCGGUUAGCUGUUUAAUUUAGAUUUGUAUUUCGCUCAAGAUCUUAAUUUCUUGUUGGAUCUCAUGCAAAACUGUUGGAUUUUCUUUUUUUGUCUUAUGAACCAUUUUGAUGGAUUCUUUUCGCUUUUCUGUUUUUCUUUUCUUACUUUAGUUUACAGCUGGGAACUCUGCAAAAAGUUGAUGGGUCUCAAUUUGGUGUGAUAUAUUCGUUUAAAUAUGAAUUUCUUGUUUGGUUUCAUAAAUAAUAUUUUAUUGUUGCAAUGAUGGGUCUUCUUUUGGUUGCACCAUUACAUUGAAAAAAAUGUAAUUGAAUGAAGUGGUAGCAUGCUAGCAUUUUCUCAAAAAGAAAAAAGAAAAAGAAAAAGAAAAAGAAAAAGUAAUUGGAAAAUGUUAAGUGUCAAAACCCUGUAGCUAGAUAGCAAGAACUGGUCCUUCUGCCAAUUUUUACAUUAUGUGAGGGGUGUAGCGAACAAUGUGAUGGGAAUGGAGUCAGCAAUGUCUAAUACAUAACAGGGCAAGGUACUUGAAGAUACAAUUAGAUUUUCUUUUUCUUUGCUUUCGCUAGAACAAAUUAUGUUGAUAGAUUUUCCAUGUAUUCUUCUUGCAUAUCAUUGCUUCUGCCUUAUCUUAUAUUUUUUCUGGUAAGAUGGGAUACAUUUCUGUCGUUCAAGCUUUUAUUAGGUGAUAAUGUAGUUCUUUCUUAGUCAAUCAACUCAAACAAUCAGUAGAGCAAGCCGUAUGAAUCUUAAACGUGAUGGGCAUAAUAAUGUAACAGAAAUAAAUGCUCUCGAAACUAGGUAGCAUUCAUCUGAAUUUCAUCAUUUUGUCUUUUAUUUAGUUUAUUUCUCCAAUUUAGAUAUUGAAAAUACUGUUUUAGUUGAAACUUGUUAAAAUAGACUCUGCACAAGAGAAGUCUGUUUUGUUUAUCUCUUUGUUAAAUAGGCCCCUAGAUUCUGUAUAAUAUCCAAAUUCUCUCUUCUUUUUUCUUUCGAAACUUUGUACUUGGAUACUGCUUGGUAUUAUUUUUGUUGGAUUGAUAUCCAUGCGGCUGUUUCGAAUAUAUCAUGGUCUAGUCAUAGAGAUCCAAGCCAAAUUUUUACUUGACUCCUUAUUUAAUUUGAUUUUGUUGAGUUAAAGAAAUGAAUGACUCAAACAAUCUGAAUUAUAUAAUCGUCACAAAAGGCGACUAAGCUUCAUGUAUUCGAGAAUGUCGGCGCUCAUCUUCAAUUGGUUGCAACAACCUAUUAUGCAGAAAUAUGCUUUACUUCUUUCUCUCUUGCUCUGGUUCUUUAUUCGUCCAUAUAAGCUGAUCUAUACUUGCCUCUCAGCCUGCCUGCAAUCCUUCUUGGCCGGUGAAACUGUUGGACGAACAGGACUCAUCUUUCAUGCGGGCUCUCUUUCACUGGGAAAGCAAUCUACGGAAGUCUUCUCACUUGGAAAGCAGCUCAUGAUCAUUUGAUGAAAAUAGACAGAUUCAUAAAAAUAAGUACAAAGGCUAUUCAGUGAGUUUAGAUGGAAGCCAGCAAAUAGCUGCCAAGGGAAUAAAGAACCAGAGCAAGAGAGUCAAGAUAUCUGAUAGCAGUAGAGAAGAACAUUGCUCUGAUUUAACAAUGAGGUAUGUUUUGAGUAAGAUAUUUUAUUCUCAUCUGUAGAGCUUUCAAUAAAAACUGCUUUUUUUUGCAGGCAUAAUUCAAAGCAAAUCUCCUUGUCCAGAGACGAGAGCUUGGUUUUGCUAAUUUACAAACUUUGUGCACCAUAACUUACAUGCAAAGGGGUAGUCUAAUUUGUUCAUGUAAGGAUUUUGCAAGAUACAGACAUCUCUAGUAUGAUUCCUGAACUCUAAUAUUUUUAUCUGAAAAAAACUAAUUUUUAUCUAUCCUCACAUGUCUAUUGUUGGAGUAUCAUGGAAUUUUGUACCUAAAUUAAUUGGGACAAUUUCGUAAGUUUGUAUGGGAAUUGUCGAGUUUUUAUUUGCAUGGCAUUAUACAUGGAUGAUCUUAUAAAUGAUAAUUACCUUCGUCUAAUGCAAAUUAUAGCGUCUAAUUUAAUUAAAUUGAAAAAUCAAUUAGAAUGAGGAUUCAAAGUGUUACAAAAAAGAUACAUGCAUCUCGAACCUUUGCAUUAAAAGAUAGCUAUGGAGAAAGGAGCACAGGUUCUAGAGGGAGAUAAAUCUCCUUUUCGGACCUAAUAUUCAUUCACAAAAUUUGGGUAGUGUAAUAUAUGACCAGUCACAUUUUCAGAUGACAACAUGGUAAUUGCAGCAGCAAGAUCUUCCACGUUGACCUCUUGUUUUCAGGUGUCACUAAGUUUUGAUUUCGGCUGCAUAAUGGUAGAUGCCUCUUUAAUUGCUUGGAGGUUCCUUCCAACGAUCAGCUUUAUUGCCUCUUUCUUUCUUUUCUUUCCCUUAUAGUUUUUGUCAUUAUGUGAAAGCAUCAACCUACUACGAAUACGACGUUAAAAUAGUUUGAUUAAAAAUUUACAUGGACCCUCUCAACUAUAGGCCAUUUUGAAAUUGAACCCUCAAUUAUUUUUCUUUUGAAUUUGGCUUCCUCGACUUUUGAUUAUUUUGAUUCAUGCUAUUUUCACUUGGAGAAUUUGGGGCUGUCAAACAGCUUUAAUUUUUAAUGAUUCUCCUCUUCUAAUGUAUGAAAAUAAUUAAAAAAAUAAAAUAAAAUAAAAUUUGAGGGAAUAUCAAUCGGAAGAAAAACAACUGAGGGGUCUAUUUCAAAAUAACCUAUAGUUUGAGCGGGGAUCCCUUUAACUUUUUUCCCAAAAGGUUUUCUGCUUUUAACAAUCCAUGUUUACUUCAUCUUUUAUUCCAGCACUCAUAUGGCUGAGCUUUGCUUUAAAUAUUUUGAUAUUUGAAACAACUUGGCUAAUUGGUAUCUCAGGCUUCCUACUUACUGCUAAAUUUGCUUCAGUAUCCAGCAUCAUAUAUUUUACUCGAUGACGAUGAAAUAGUUUGUUGUAAUAUAUGUUGAUUUUGUGAUCCUCUAUUACUUUAAUGUAGUGCGUGUAUAACACAAAGGUUGUCUGAUUUAAACUUCUUCGCUUUCAGUCAUUUCAUGUUAUUUCUUUCUUAACUUGCAAGUGUGCAUAAGAACUUACAGCUACUUGCUGGAUACAUGCCUGAAUUUUGUGAGAAAAUCAUUGUAAGCUAUGUAGGGAAUUUGACUAGGUUUACAGAGGAUUUUAUCCAUCCCUAUGUUAGGAAUGUGACUAGGUUUACGGAGUACUUUAUCCCUACCUAUGUGAAUUUCAGAUCUGGUGAUUUUUUUUUCUCUUUUUUUUUUUUGUAUCUCUCUCUCAACUUUAUUUAAUAAUUUGUUUUUUUGUAGACUUUUGUAUUUUUGACUGCCAUGUAAGGUACCCCAGGGAUGGUUCUUAAAGAGAGAGAGUGAGAGAAACAAAAGGGGAAAUUUCUUUGAUUUGUUACAUGAUAGCAGCAUCUGAGUGAUUGGUAAGUAUCUUCUAUAUGAUAUAGGAGCAAAUUUCUGUUGCAGCUGCUUUAUCGGAAGUGCACUGCUUCAAUAAUGUCGGAUAUAACAAAGUAUGCCUCUAUAACAUUUCCUCUGCAUAUAUUCCCUUACAAACCGAAUUCAUUAAAUUAAUUAUCAUGCUACGUAACUGCCACACAUAUUCUUGCUAUAUCAGCAAGGCAAAUUUUUCAGUAUCUGGGUUAUAGUUGAAAAAGAUGCUUGGAUUGUACGAGCAAGUUAUAGCCUUUUGUUUAGAAGCCCCCACAUAAACUGUUAACGAGUAUGUAGUUUGAGUUCAGUUUUGUAAUGAAUAUUUAGCGACAGAGUAUUUGUUUCUUGCUAACUUUUUUUUUUUUUUUAACCAUACUCCAGGCUGAGACAAAUUGUGGAGUCCAAGGGAAAGUUUAAACUUGAGAGGAUAAUACCUUUGGAGCAGUCAUAAAACGGUUCAACAAUUAUUUACUCGUCAAGAAUGACGAAUAGUUCCGAGUAGAGCCUCGACUACGACUACCCAAUAUUUCUUGCUUUUGCAAAUGAAGAGCACCACUCUACCUUGAUGUUAGUGGCAUAAUGUAACUUUCUAAGUUGGUAAUCAUGUUAGUGGCAUAAUACCUUUGGAGAAUUGAUGCUUUUAUAAAAACGAAGAAUCUGACAUUCAUUAAAUGAAUAGAGGUACACAAUGCAAAUCCAUGACCUUGCGCCUCAUUUCUUGUUUAAUUUUCCAGAGAAAUUCCUGUUUUUUUACUUGAAACGGGCAUAAUUCAAAACAAAUCUUCUUGUCCAGUUUGAAAUGAAGUUUGAGCCUGUUUUUACUAAUUUAUGAAAUUUGUGCACAAUAAGUCUUUAAAAAACUUUUUUUUUUGAAAGGUUUCAUUAGCUGUUUUAUCUGAAAGUGGCAUAAUCCAAAACAAAUCUUCUUGUCCAGUUGAAAUGGAAUUCGAACCUGUUUUUGCAAGCAUUCAAAGAAAGAACUUUUGCAUUCAAGGAGAAAGUUGAACUUGUUCAUGCAAAGAUCUCUCGUAUGAUUCCUUAACUGUGUAUAUUUUUCUUCUUAAACUGUAUUAUGUCACUAAGCUGUAAUGUUAUUAGCUUAAAAAAACCAAAAAAAAUAGAGCUUCACAUGUUGCAUUUAUUAUCUCUUUACAUAAUUGGUCAUUUGAUGAUAACAGGUCGGACUCCGAUUGCGCUAGAACAUAACAGAAGGCUUUUAGAUUUGGUCAUAGAACCAGCUCUCAAACUCAUGGAGUAAGUUCGGGGUGUGAAACUGCUAAACAGAGUAACCAAAUCGAACCAAUGGUUGAGGUCUGGUUUAGAUUUUUGUUUUCAUUUUGAGAAAAAAAAACUGGUUGGGUUUUGGGUCAAUAUGGUAGGAUUAGGAACCACGUUAUUUUGAUUCAGCUUUUGGUUCUGAUCUUGAUUCUCCUGUGUUUGAUUUUGUUACUGCUUUUGUUCAUGAUUCAUGAACUUUCUGUUUGAAGGAAAAAAUUGAGGAAUUUGCAGAGUUUUUGCAUCUGGAGAAGAAGGAUUUAGGUGCUCUUAUUCCUACUGGCAUAUUUGAUCCGAUUUUUUAUUUUUUAAAAUUUUGAAACAACUUUCUACAUUGCUCCUAAUUUUACUUUAUAGUACUUUUUUACAGUUCUAGCUGUAUUUACCUGCAGGUAGCUGAUUUGUAAAUGAAUGAGAAGAAAAGGGUUUAGGUAAUAAAUCUGAUGCUUCAACCGAAGUACUAGAACUAGGUGACUCAUUUCAUCUGAUGUGCUAUUUGUGUUUGUGAAUUUCAGUAAAGCCAAUAAAAUAGUAUCCAGUUUCAAAUAGUUUAGAGAGAGCUCUCUAGUCCAAAAUCUAUAUGAAUUCUGUGCAUGAUUCUAUCUUAACAUCACUUGUAGCCACGCAGAACAAGGGGAAAUUUUUAUAUUGUCUCCUUAGUGACCAACAAUUGGAAAUUUGUUCAAGGAUUUACCUGUAUGGGUUCUCUUAACCUCAUCAUGAGUCUGAGGCAAAACAUUUUGCUUCAACUAUUUGAUUGGCUUUGUUGUGUUUAAUUACUCUGAAGAUUAUCUGAUUUUUGUGCUUCUUAUGCUAGUGCUAGCGUGAUGAUAGUGUUAUUACAGGGAAUAAAAUAUAUUCUCCUUCCAGGUGUGCUAUUGAGUUUAUGGUGCCUCAUGAGUCUAUUGGAAUGCUGCUUUAUCAGAUUUUAGUGGAAUAUUCUUCUUCCAGGUGUGCAAAUAAAGUAAAUUCUUCUUCCAGCUGUGCAAAUUGUUGAGUUUAUGAUGCCUCAUGAGUCUAUUGAAAUGUUCUCAACAUUCUCAGAUUUUAGUAGAAUACAUAAACUUUAAUUCAAAAAAAAAGGAGUAUGGAAUCGGAAUCCGUAACUUAAAGGAAGCAUGUGCUGCAAAGAAGUUAUUGGAUCAAAAUUGCCAAAUUUUACUAUAUUAUCUGAAUAUUAUCGAAUUUUUGCAUUCUGCUGUUGGUUUUUGAACUCUUCGGGCAUCCAAUUAUAUGGGACUCAUACUUCAAUCGGUUGGCAAGCUGUUUAAUCUAGAUUUCUAUUUCGCUUUUGAUGUGAUGGAUUUGUUCAAAAUCCGAAUUUCUUGUUGGAUUUUUGUCUUAUGAAUUGUUUUGAUGGAUUCUUUUCACUUUUCUGCUUUUCUUUUCUUAGUUUAGUUUAUAGCUCGGAAUUCUUUGAAAAGUUGAUGUGUCUAAUUUAAUAUGAUACACUCGUCAAAUAUGAACUUCUUAUUUGGUUCCAUAGGAAUAUUUUUUUGUUGCAAUGAUAGGUCUUCUAUUUUACUGCAGAGUAUUGUUGGAUUUUUGUCUUAUGAAUUGUUUUGAUGGAUUCUUUUCACUUUUCUGCUUUUCUUUUCUUAGUUUUGUAACUUUUGUUUAUAGCUCGGAAUUCUGCGAAAAGUUGAUGCGUCUAAUUUGAUAUGAUACACUCGUCAAAUAUUUGGAAAAUAUGAAGUGCCAAAACCUUGUAGCGAGAUAGCAAAAACUGGUCCUUUCGCCAAUUUAAACUACAUUAUUAUGUGUGAGGCAUAGUGAACAAUGAGAUUGGAAACGAGUCGGCAAUGUCUAAUACAUAACAGGGCAAGGUAGUUGAAGAUACAAUUAGGUUUUCUCUUUCUUUGCUUUCUCUAGAACAAAUUAUCUUGAUAGAUUUUCCAUGUAUUCUUCUUGCUAUCAUUGCUACUGCCUUAUCUUAUGUGUUUUCUGGCAAGGUGGGAUACAUUUCUUUCCUUAAAGUUUUUAUUAGGUGAUAAUGUAGUUCUUUUAUAGUUGAUCAACUCACACAAUCAGUAGAGCAAGCCAUAUGAAUCUUAAAUGAGAUGAGUAUAAUAAUGUAAGAGAAAUAAUGCUCUAGAAACUAGUAUGCAUUCAUCUGAAUUACAUCAUUUUGUCUUUUGUUUAGUUUAUUCUCGAAUUUAGGUGCUUGAAAAAAAAUACUGUUUUGGUUGAAAAUUGUUAAAAUAGACUCUGCACAAGAGAAGUUUAACUGUAAGUCGGAGUUUUCCCACAGUUUUGUUUAUCUCUUUGUUAAAUUAGGCCCCUAGAUUUUGUACAAUAUUCCAAAUCUUUUAAACUAACAAUUUUUGUUGGAGAGAAUCCAUGUGGCUGUUUCAAAUAUAUCAUGGUCUAGUUAUAGAGAUCGAAGAAAAAAAUUUACUUGACUCCUAAAUUUAAUUUGAUCUUGUUAAGUUAAAUAAAUGAAUAACUGAAACGAUCUGAAUUAUAUAAUUGUCAUAGAUGGCAGCUAAGCUUCAUGUAUUCUAGAAUGUGGGCACUCGUCUUCAAUUGGCUGCAGCAAGUUAUUAUGCAGCAAUGUGCUUUAGUUUUUUCUCUCUUGUUCUUGGUCUUUCUUCGUCCAUAUAAGCUGAUCAGUUAUCAUAUACCAGGAGAGAAGAACGUCGCUCUGAUUUAACAAUGAGGUAUGUUUUGAGUCGGAUAUUUUAUUAUCUUCUGUAGAGCCUUCAAUAAAUCUGCUUUUUUUGCAGGCAUAAUUCAAAGCAAAUCUCCUUGUCCAGAGACAGGCGAGCUUGGUUUUGCUAAUUCACAAACUUUGUGCAACAUAACUUGACAUGCAAAGAGGUAGUCUAAUUUGUUCAUGCAAGGAUUUUGCAAGAUACAACCAUCUCUGGUAUGAUUCCUAAACUGUAAUAUUUUUAUCUGAAAAAGCUAAUUUUAUAUGUUGCUUUUAUUGUUUCUUUAUUAAUUUGUUAUGGUUAUUUGUAGAACAGGUUGGACCCUGAAAAUUCAAAAGGUGUACCUAGUCAGAAGGUAAAGUGUAUUGGGAAUCCCUUCGACAAUUCGCUGGCUUAAAUUGGCCACCUCCACUUAUUUUUAUUUUUUUUUCAUUGCACCUCCUUAACUUCAAUUUUUUGAAAUUACAUGAUUUUAUUUAAUUAAAAUUAUGAAUUUUAUCAAAUUAAUUAUUUAUUUCAUCAAAUUUAAUGGUUUGAUUAAUUUUUAGCGAAUGAAGUAAAUAUUUAACGUUUAAUAUUUUAACGGAAUUAUUAAAUUUUUAAAAAGUAAACUAUCUAGAAUAACUUGAAUAAAAAAAUUAUAAGUUGUGGAGGUGUUUAUUUGUUAUGGCCCAUUGUUCUUUUUUGGUGCGGUUCGACUCAUUAAUUUCGAACGUUAAGCUAUAUAGUACCGUCUUUGCUUUUAAGCUAUUGCCACUUUAUCCAUUCCCAUCAGUUCUCUUCUAGAUCUUAUUAUAAAAUGCAAUAAAAAUUUUCGUUGAUGUCUGGAAAUACUAAAAUUGCCCUUCUUCGAAAGGUAAAGGAAUGGGAUAAAACCAGGGAGUUUCUGUAUUAGUAUUUCAUUCAAAAUUUCAUUUUAUGUUCCAAAAGAUCGCUGAUAAGGAACUAACAUGAGGAGGUAAAGUAAUAACGAUUUAAAACAAUCAAAGGGUAAUGUUUAGGUUUUUAAAGUUCAGCAUGGCGAAGAAAUAACAACUAUUUAGUCAGAAGAGUCUUCUGCAUUUUAAUUCUCCUUUUUUCUAAAAAGAAAUUAAUUAGCUGUAUGUAUUAGACGAGAAUUAAAGUCUGUCUUUUUGUUUUUAUUUGAGACUGAAAUUUCAUCCUCUUUUGAGUGCUGUUGCCUGGAGAUUUCUUAACUGCACCAUAUCACGUGGAGAUCAUUUUUGGCAUGAGAAGAUACAAAGAGGAAACCUCGCAUUUACGACUACGUAGGCACUCAUUUUCACUUGGCCACAGCAAGGUAUAAUGCAGCAAACACUCCUUUUUGCCCUUGGUCCUUAGUCACCUAUUUAAACUGAUCUAUUAUGAUAUGCCGGGAGAGAUCUGAUUAUGUUUAAAAAUGAUGUGUGUUUUGAAAUUUGAAUCAUAUGUUCGUCAACAGUCAGCUAACUGUUUACUCUAAUCAAAAAAUCUUUUCAAUAAAUUGCAUUUUUUGUAAGCAUACUUCAAAUAGAUCUCCUUGUCCAACUUGAAGUAGAAUUCGGACCUAAUUUUUCCUAAUUUAAAAACUUUGUGUACCCUAAUUACGAGAAACCAAAGAACACACUUACAUGCAAAGAGAUAGUGGAACUUGAUCAUGCAAGGAUCUUGCAAUACAAUAGAAAACCCAAGGAUCCCUGGAAACUAGACCCUACGGUACUAACUUCGAAAUGCUCCUAAUCUUCAACUAAACUAGGAUCCAAAUAAAUCCCUUUCCAUUGUAUAGAAUUUUGAUCUCUCUAAUUCUCUCCCUCCAAUGUGAUGAAGGAUCAGAUACCUCUUCGCAUUCCCUCCAUUGAAUCCCUCGAUUUGAGCAAGACUGAUCUGCAUCUUGACCUCUAGUAGCACAAACCGCUGAUCUAUUAAAAAUCGAGUACGUUUGUGAUCUAAAGAAAAGCUGAUCGCUCAUGAUGUCUUUGACUGCGAGUCACUAUAUAUAUAUUGCAAUGCGUUUUCGGAUCCUGGUGAUUCUGCUGUGGUCUGAUUUUGUUCCUGCUUUGUUCAUGUUUCACAUGAACUUUUAUGUUUGAGAUGAAAGAUAGUUCGAGGAAUUUGCCGAGUUUGCAUCUGUGAGAAGAAGGAUUUAGGUUGCUCUCUUAUUCCAACUAACUAACUAUUUUUUUUUAAAAAAAUAAACAAUUUCAUAUAAUGCUGUAAUUUUUUCUUUCUUAGUACUUCUUACAGUUCUUAGCCUGAAUUACUGCAGAGGUAGGCUAAAUUUGGAUAAAUGAACGAGUAAGAGAAAGGGUGUUUUAGCAAUCGCAAAACUAGGUUGAUACUUUUCAUCUGAUUGUUGUCUAUUUGGUGUUGUUGAUUUCAGGAAAGUGCCAAUUAAAAAUCCCGAGGAAAUAGGUAGAGAGGCUUCAUUCUAGUCCGAAUCUAUAUGUAAUUCUGGUGAAAAUUUAUUCUUAUGCUUAACUCCUUGUAGCCAGCAGAGACAAGGAGCGGAUUGUAUGGAUUUCGCCGGUUAGGGUGACCAACAAUCUGGAAAUUCUUGUUUUUAAUGGACUUUACCAUUAUUGGGACUCUAUAAUCUGAUGCUGGUAGAAAAUUUACUAGUUACUUUGUUGUGUUUAAUUACUCUGAAGAUUAUCUGAUUUAUGUGGCUUUUAUGCUCGGUGUAGCGUUGAUGAUACGUAGUAUUACAGGGGAAAGUAACAUAGUGAGUUCUCCGUGCAGGUGACAAAUGUAUUGGAGUUUGAUGGUGCUGUGCAGGUCUAUUGAUGCUGCUUUCAACUGUCUCAGAUGUUUAGUGAAUAUGUUUCUUCAGGCAAAUAGAAGAAUUCUCUUUCCAGGUGCGCUGUGCAAAUUAUUUGAGUUUAUAGUGCGCCUCGUUAGUUCUAUUGAAAGCUGCUUUCAACAUUCUUAGAAAAUUCAUUUUUUGGUAAGAAACUUAAUAAAAAAAAAGAGUAUGAAUUCAGAAUCCAUAACUUUCUUUUACAUUUGAAUGUUAGGAUCAAAAUGUAAUAUUAUAACUUAUCUGAUAUCAGUCGAUAUUUGCAUUCUUGCUGUUAGUUUGGAAACUCUUCAGGAUUCCAAUUGUUGGGGACUAAACUUCAAUUGAGUUGUCUAGCUGGUUUAGUCUUUUAGUUUUGUAUUGUCGCUUGUUGAUGUGAUGGAUUUGUUCAAGAAUCAAAAUAUCUUGUUGGAUUUCGUGCAAAACUGUUGGGUUGUUUUGUCUUAUGUGAAUUGUUUGAUGAUUCUUUUUGCUUUUCUGUUUUUCUUUUCUUACUUUAGUUUAUAGCUGGAACUUCUUAUUUGGCUUCCAUAGAGAAUAUUUUAUUGUUGCAAUGAAGGUUCUAUUUCACGCUCGAGUGGUUGCCACAUUGCAUUGAAUUUUUAUUUGGAAAAUGCUAAUUAAAUGAGGUAGCAGUCCUACCACUUUUCUCAAAAAAAAGGGAAAGGAAAGAAAAUGUAUUUGAAAAUUGCAAUCCCAGUCCAAAUACUUCAGCGAUGAUAGCAAAAACUGGUCCUGUUUGUCCAAUUUAAACUACACUUCAUUUUGUGUGAAGCAUAUGGUGUGGAAUCAAUGAAGAUUGGAAAGGAGGUCGAGCAAGUCUAAUACAUAAACAGUAAAUUUGUUGAAGAUACGAUUAAAUUUUCUCUCUCUUUGGCUUUCUCCAGAACAAAUUAUCUGAUAGAUUUCAUGUAUUCUUCUUGCUAUCAUUGAUCCCUCUUAUGGUUUUUCUGGCAAGGUGGCGAUGCAUUUUUUUCUGCUUUUAACAAUCCAUGCUUACUUCAUCUUUUAUUCUAGCACUCGUAUGGCUGAGCUUUGCUUUAAAUAUUUUGAUAUUUGAAACAACUUGGCUAAUUGGUAUCUCUGUCUUUCAAGUUUCAACUUACUAUUAAAUUUGCUUCAGUAUUCAGCAUCAUAUAUUUUACUUGAUGACAAUGAAACAGUCUGUUGUAAUAUAUGUUGAUUUUGUUAUCCUCUAUUACUUUAAUGUAGUGCGUGUAUAACACAAUAGUUGUCUGAUUUAAACUUCUUCACUUUCAGUCAUUUCAUGUCAUUUCUUCUUAACUGCAAGCGUGCAUAAGAACUUAAUGCUACUUGCUGGAUAGAUACCUGAAAUUUGUGAGAAAAUCAUUGUAAGCUUCUUGCGAAUUUGACUAGGUUUACAAAGGAUUUUAUCCAUUCUGUUGUUAGGAGCGUGGCUAGGUUUACAGAGUAUUUUUAUGUGAAUUUCAAUCUGGUGAUUCUUUUCUUCUGUCUUUUUUUUGUUUUUCUCUCUCAACUUUAUUUAAUAAUUUGUUUUUAGUAGACUUUUGUAUUUUUGAUUGUCAUGUAAGGUAGCCAGGGAUGGUUCUUAAAGAGAGAUUAAAAAAGGGUAAUUUCUUUGAUUUGUUACAUGAUAUCAGAAUCUGAGUGAUUGGUAAGUAUCUUCGGUAUGAUAGGAACAAAUUUCUCUUGCAGGUGCUUUAUCGAAAGUGCGCUGCUUCAAUCUCGUCAGAUAAGACAAAGUAUGCCUCUAUAACUUUUCCUGUGCAUAUAUUCCUUUACAAACCGAAUUCAUAAAUUAAUACGUAACUGCGAUAUUUUCUUUGUAUAUCAGCCAAAAUUUUCAGUAUCUGGGUUAUAGUUGAAAAAGAAGCUUGGAUUGCAUGAGCAAGUUAUAGCCUUUUGUUUAGAAGCCCCCACAUAAACUGUUAACGAGUAAGUAGUUGGAGUUCAGUUUUGUAAUGAAUAUUUAGCAACAAAGUAUUUGUUUCCUUCUAAAUUUUUUUUAAAAUUUUUUUUUAAAAAAAACUAUACUCCAGGCACGAGACGAAUUCUGGAGUGGUAAGUUUAAACUGAGAGGAUAAUAUCUUUGGAGCAGUCAUAAAAUGGCUCAACGAUGAUUUAUUUGUCAAGCAUGACAAGUAGUUCCGACUAGAGCCUCGAUUACGACUACCCAAUAUUUCUUGCUUUUGCAAAUGAAGAGCACCACUCUACCUUGAUGUUAGUGGCAUAAUGUGACUUUCUAAGUUGGUAAUCAUGCUUUCAAGUUAAUGCUUUGUAGAGUGAGUGAGAAUUGAAGCUUUUAUAAAAACAAAGAAUCUGUCAUUCAUUAAAUGUAUAGAGGUACGCAGUGCAAAUCCAUGACCUUGUGCCUGAUUUCUUGUUUUUUUUUUAUGGAAGUUCCUUUUUUUUUCUUGCGCCUGAUUUCUUGUUUUUUUUAGGGAAAUUCCUUUUUUUUUCUUGAAACAGGCAAAAUUCAAAACAAAUCUUGUCCAGUUUGAAAUGAAGUUUGAGCCUGUUUUUACUAAUUUAUGAAACUUGUGCACAACAAGUCAUUAAAAAACUAAUUUUCUUUUUCUUUUUCUUCUUUUUUUUUGAAAGGUUUGAUUAACUGUUUUAUCUAAAAGUGGGCAUAAUCCAAAACAAAUCUUCUUGUCCAGUUGAAACGGAAUUCAGACCUGUUUUUGCAAGCAUUCAAAGAAAGAACUUUUGCAUUCAAGGGGAAAGUUGAACUUUUUCAUGCAAAGAUCUCUCGUAUGAUUCCUUAACUGUGUAUAUUUUUCUUCUUAAACUGUAUUAUGUCACUAAGCUGUAAUGUUACUAGCUUAAAAAAAAAAAAAAAAAAUAGAGCUUCAUAUGUUGCAUUUAUUCUCUCUUUACAUAAUUGGUCAUUUGAUGGUAACAGGUCGGACUCCGAUUGCGCUAUAACAUAACGGAAGGCUUUUAGAUUUGGUCGUAGAGCCAGCUCUCAAACUCAUGGAGCAAGUUAGGGGUGUGAAACUGCUAAACAGAGUAACCGAAUCAAACCAAUGGUUAGGUCUGGUUUAGAUUUUCUUUAUCAUUUUGAAGAAAAAAAAAACUGGUUGGGUUUUGGGUCAAUAUGGUAGGAACUAGGAACUGCAUUAUUUUGAUUCAUUAUUUUGAUUAACUUUCAGUUCUGAUCAUGAGAAACGGCUUAAAACAAACCAGCCGGUUAUAGUAUGUCAUUUUUUUAAACCAAACCGGCCUUAGUCCCAGUGGUUUGAUCUUAGCUCAUUGUACUUGACACUGGAAGGUUAACGUGCACAUUACCACGUGAUGAAGCACAGGAUAGCAUGAAGGCAAUGGACGAGGGCUACAUAAUUGUUUUGCCCUCCAUGCGCCAUUCCAAUCCAAAUCGGGACCAAUUGCUCUUCUCCUUCUCUCCUCCUCUCUUCCACUUGUCGGUGACUCCAAAACCAACGGAGUCGAAGUGCAAACUAAACCCUAAGGUACUAACUCGAAUGCUCUUAAUCUUCGAAGGAUUAAAUAAAUCCCUUUUCCAUUGUAAGAAUUUGAUCUCUCUAUCUCUCCCUCCAAUGUGAUGAAGGAUCAGAUACCUCUUCCAUUCCCUCCAUCGAAUCCUCGAUUUGAAGCCAAGACUGAUCUCGAUCUUGACCUCUCUUGUCGAUUUGAGAUCACCGGAUCCCUGAUCUAUUAAAGUCUGAGUACGUUUUGAUCUAAAGAAAGCGAGAUGAUUCUUUGAGGCGAACUAUAUAUCUUGCAAUGCUUGAUCGUGAUUCUGCUGUGUUUGAUUUUGUUACUGCUUUUAUUCAUGAUUCAUGAACUUUCUGUUUGGAAAAGAUUGAGGAAUUUGUCGAGUUUUUGCAUCCGGAGAAGAAGGAUUUAGGUGCUCCUAUUCCAACUAACAUAUCUGAUCUGAUUUUUUAAAAAAAAAAAAAAAUUGAAACAACUUUCUUUAAUGCUCGUAAUUUUACUUUCUGGUACUUCUUUACAGUUCUAGCUGAAUUUACCUGCAGGUAGCUAAUUGAUAAGUGAACGAGAAGAAAAGGGUUUAGGUGUAAUCGAAGUUCUAGAACUAGGUGACUCUUUUCAUCUGAUGUGCUAUUUGUGUUUGUGAAUUUCAGGAAAGCCAAUAAAAAAGUUUCCAGUUUCAAAUAGUUUAGAGAGAGCUCUCUAGUCCAAAAUCUAUAUGAAUUCUGUGAAUGAUUCUAUCUUAACAUCACUUGUAGCCACACAGGACAAGGGAAAUUUAUGUAUUGUUCCCUUAGUGACCAACAAUUGGAAAUUUGUUUAAUGAUUUACUUGUAUGGGCUCUCUAACCUCAUCAUGAGUUUGAGGCAAAACAUUUUGCUUCUACUAGUUGAUUGGCUUUGUUGUGUUUAAUUACUCUGAAGAUUAUUUGAUUUUUUGUGCUUCUUAUGCUGGUGCUAGUGUGAUGAUAGUGUUAUUACAGGGAAAUAAAAUAUAUUCUCCGUCCAGGUGCACAAAUUAUUGAGUUUAUGGUGCCUCGUGAGUCUCUUGGAAUGCUGCUUCUCAACGUUCUCAGAUUUUAGUGGAAUAUUCUUCUUCCAGGUGUGCAAAUAAAGUAAAUUAUUCUUCCAGCUGUGCAAAUUAUUGAGUUUAUAGUGCCUCGUGAGUCUAUUGAAAUGCUGCUUCUCGACAUUCUCAGAUUUUUGUAGAAUACAUAAACUUUAAUUCAAAAAAAAAGAGUAUGGAAUCAGAAUCCAUAACUUUCUUUACAUUUGAAGUUAUUGGAUCAAAAUUGCCAAAUAUUAUAACUUAUCUGAAUAUCAUCGAAUAUUUACAUUCUGCUGUUGGCUUUUGAACUCUUCAGGCAUCCAAUUGUGGGACUCAAACUUCAAUUGGUUGUCUAGCUGUUUAAUCUAGAUUUGUAUUUCGCUUUUGAUGUGAUGGAUUUGUUCAAAAUCCAAAUAUCUUGUUGGAUUUCAUGCAAAACUGUUGGAUUUUUUUUUGUCUUUUGAAUUGUUUUGAUUGAUUCUUUUUGCUUUUCUGUUUUUCUUUUCUUACUUUAGUUUAUAGCGGGGAACUUCUUAUUUGGUUCCAUAGAGAAUAUUUUAUUGUUGCAAUGAUAGGUCUUCUAUUUCACUGCAUAGUCUUGAUGGUUGCACCAUUGCAUUGAAAUUGUAUUUGGAAAAUGCUAAUUAAAUGAAGUGGUAGCAGCCUACCAUUUUCUCAAAAAUAAAGAAAGGAAAGAAAAUGUAUUUGGAAAAUGUGAAGUGCCAAAACCUUGCAGCGAGAGAGCAAAAACUGGUCCUUUUGCCAAUUUAAACUACAUUAUUAUGUGUGAAGCAUAGUGAACAAUGAGAUUGGAAAGGAGUCAGCCAUGUUUAAUACAUAACAGGGCAAGGUAGUUGAAGAUACAAUUAGAUUUUCUCUCUGUUUGCUUUCUCCAGAACAAAUUAUCUUGAUAGAUUUUCCAUGUAUUCUUCUUGCUAUCAUUGCUACUGCCUUGUUUUAUGUGUUUUCUGGCAAAGUGGGAUACAUUUCUUUCCUUAAAGUUUUUAUUAGAUGAUAAUGUAGUUCUUUUAUAGUUGAUCAAUUCACAAAAUCAGUAGAGCAAGCCAUAUGAAUCUUAAACGAGAUGAGCAUAAUAAUGUAAGAGAAAUAAAUGCUCUAGAAACUAGUAAGCAUUCAUCUGAAUUACAUCAUUUUGUCUUUUGUUUAGUUUAUUCUCGAAUUUAGGUGCUUGAAAAAAAUACUGUUUUGGUUGAAAGUUGUUAAAAUAGACUCUACACAGGAGAAGUUUAACUGUAAGUCGGAGUUUUCCCACAGUUUUGUUUAUCUCUUUGUUAAAUUAGGCCCCUAGAUUCUGCACAAUAUUCCAAAUCUUUUAAACUAAAAAUUUUUGUUGGAGAGAUCCAUGUGGCUGUUUCAAAUAUAUCAUGAUCUGGUCAUAGAGAUCGAAGACAAAAAUUUACUUAACAAGAUCAAAUUAAAUAAAUUUAGGAGUCAAGUUAAAUAAAUGAAUAACCGAAACGAUCUGAAUUAUAUAAUUGUCAUAAAUGGCAACUAAGCUUCAUGUAUUCUAGAAUGUCGGCACUCGUCUUCAAUUGGCUACAGCAAGUUAUUAUGUAGCAAUAUGCUUUACUUUUUUCUCUCUUGCUGUGGGUCUUUAUUCGUCCAUGUAAGCUGAUUUGUUAUCAUAUACCAGGAGAGAAGAACAUCUCUCUGAUUUAACAAUGAGGUAUGUUUUGAGUCAGAUAUUUUAUUAUCAUAUGUAGAGCCUUCAAUAAAUACUGCUUUUUUUCAGACAUAAUUGGAAGGACUGAGAUUUUGGCAGUAUAGCUAAACUUUCUGUUGACGAUGUUUUUAUGUGUAAUUUAAUUACAUAAGCACUCGUCAAGUUUCAAGAAAAAACGAGUUAGAAUGGAGAAGUUACGCGAUCAAUACUAAUCACUUAAAGUGAAUAGUAACUCUGAUUUUUCGAAGAGGCUGAUGAGUAGAGUUGGCUUUUGGCACGUAUCGGACUUCAUUCAUAGCGAUCCAAUAGCUCGUUUUGAACGGUUCGGCUAUUCUAGAACCAAUGGCGCUGACGGAUUUUAUAUUUGAUGCACGAUUUUCGAGAAAAGGGCAGUUUAUUGGAUAUAUACUAUAUAUAUAUAUAUAUAUAUAUAUAUAUAUUAUAUAGAGUUGAUCUAAGGAUACUUUUACAAGUAUCAAUCCCCAUGUUGCUAUUACAUUUUUAGCCAUUGGAUCUACUUUUUGAUUACAAAUAGCCCUUGGGAUCAAACACUAUUACCUACCACCACCUACCACCACCUACCCCUCAUCUCAACCUCACAUUCUUCCAUCCAAGGGCUAAAAACACACAAGUAUCACUUGGGUGAUACUUGUAAAAUAUUCUGAGCCCUACUCUAAUUAUUUAUAUAUAAUAUAAAUAUAAUAAUAUAUAUAUAUGUAUGUAUAUAUGUGUGGUUUUUGGUAAAUUAGAGUGGGGAUGUGUUUUGUCGCAAAUCGGCAACCAUAUCGGGCGAAACAAAAUCGUGAGUUCGAUGCCCCGGUCGUGCUGAAUGCGCUGGCACAGUCCUUUCGAAAAUCCGACGGACGGAUCGCUAGAUAUCACACGUUUAUCGAGGAAGGGUCAAAUGGGUCAUUUUUGUAUUUCGCGUGAAACCCCCUACAUUUUAUGUACCGAACAGCGGGAGCUCGGACGUGGAGGUGCGUACACGUGAUUUACUCGCGCUGUGAAGGACUCGAUUACAAUUAUCAGUUUAGAGGGACUUGUGCGCAAAGUUGACACGGAUAUAUUUUUAUAUUUUAGGGUUUCAAUUGGGGAAAACCCUAACCCUAGCCUCCAACUCCCUCAGCUGCGCCCUCUGCAAACUCCACCACCUCCCCACCCCUAGGCGCACGUCCUCGGUUGCCGAAAAGGCUAACCUCGUUAUCCUCAUCACUGAACCACCUCCUUUUCUCUGCAGUGGACAACCCUGGGACCAUAAUCAGCCUUGGGCCACCUCUCCUGUCCGCAGUCGUGGUCUCCGGAGCCGUCCCUGCCGGCCCUCGCCGUGCGCGCCACCGCCAUCGCCGCCUAAACGCGAUGUGCCCGAGCUUGAUUAGCUCGGGCGGAGCUUAGGUCAGCCCUUAGCCCGCAAGCUAUCGCUGCCUGGAACCGGCCGCGCCGCCCUCCACCGACCAUUGGGGACCUCCCCGGCUGGCCCUCGCCGGCCCUGCGCACCGCCGCCGCCGCUCCGAGUAGCCUGCGGCCGCCCAGUCCAGCUCGGGCUGAGCCUGAGUCCUUUUCCUCUCGCGUCGCCGCCGCUUAGGGUCGGUCGCGCCGCCGUCCCCCGGCCCCCGGCAACUCGUCGCCGUCGUCCCGGAGCUACCCCGAUCGCCGCCUUGGCUGCCGCUACCUUGUGAACCCGAGCCAAGCCCAUGUGGGCUCGGGAUGCUCCAGCACCGCCGCCGCCGCCGCCGCCGCCUUCCGCGGCCGGUCGGCGUGAGCACCGGCUCCGCCUGGCCGGCCGUACUCGUCCGCCGCCGGCGCCCCCGCCGCCGGAGCUUCCUGUCAGCCGGAUCUGGGCCGAGCUCUCCUCGGGCUGCCUUGGCUAGGGCAUCAAUGCUCGUCGUCGCCGCCACCUCAUGCCGCCGGCUAAAAACGCGAGCCCUGGCCUCUACUGACCGGCCGCACUUGCCCUGGCCAGCCUCCUCGCCGUCCGCCCGCCGCUGGCCACCCCCGUGCCCUACCUAGCUCCGGUACGUAUAAAUUACAGUUUUGCACACUGUUUCGGGUUCCAGUCACUUUUCCGGCGACCCGGAGGCACCCCGGUACCCCCGGAAGUGAGCACGAUAAUCUAUGAUCCGUGCCGAACAUCGUGCUCACCUCCAUUUGGCUCAGCGAAGCCCCAGUGUGCGUAUUAAGCUCAGUUUAGGCGUUGUGCGCGCUAUGUGAUUGAACUUCGCAUUGCUCCCGCGCUCGCCACAGUGGCCGGCCGUGCUCCAAAGUGUGAGCACGGCCUCCGGCACAUCGAGACCUGUCGACGGUGGUCUCGGCCUAGCUAGAAUACCCUCGGUUUGCGCUGUCGGGCCGUAAAACCCCGAAAAUCACAUGAAAUAAUGUGAUUUUGUGUUGUCGCGGGGGUUUUUAUGCAAUUGUUUAUGUUGUGGUUGCUGUUGUCAACGUGUGCGGGCUGUGGGUGACCUCUGGACUAAUUGUCCUAGGCCCCAAGACCUUGCGGAAAUUGAAAAUAGAUUUUCGGUGCGUUUGUCGGCAAAAUCCGCCGACGAAACGCGUUUUCCGUUCGGAAUUAUUCCGACGGUGCCUUAUGAUAAUCUGUGUCGUCGCUAAGCCUUAUUGGCUGGUCACCUGUGUCGUUUCGAGAGUCCGGAAAUGACGGGUGAGCGAUGGUCAGGUUCCGGUGUCAAAAUAGGCACUUCCGGAAAUCCGGAUCCGAACGAUUAUCCGACGAUAAUUGUCUGGAGGCGUGAUCUUGUGUUUGCUACCAGGACACAAAAAUAAUGGUGUUUAGUGCCAGCAGGUGACUAGUAGCACGAGUCGGUGAAUUUCGGGACAGUUCGUGGGUCCCGGUGAAGUCCCGGUGUGAUUUUUGGGAUCCCCGGCGAGUUAUGGUAGUCAGUUUUGGAAAACCGAUUUUCGAGGGAUUGUUUGUGGGGUUGUGGAUUCAGUGGUUAUUAUUUGUGGGUUAGACACUAACCCGGUGGACCCUCCUAGGUCCGGUUGACGUUUUUUCGCAGUCAGGAGACAAGUGCGACAUUCGUACAGGUGGAUACUUCGAUCCGAAGUCGGUACAGUGGUGCACGCUCGGUGAUAUCCUCUUACCCUCGUUCUCCUGUUAUUAUUCUACAUGCAUUCAUAUAUCGUGUUGAGCUUAACACCUGGUUAUCUCUAUUUAUCGCUCUACUUGAUUAUUUAUAUUUCUAGGCUUGUGAGUAAAAGUAGAGCAGGUUUUAUCUACAUGUGUAUCUCUGACCUAGUCAGUCGGUUACAUGACUCCUGUCAUUUGAUGACCUUUGAGGUCGGUAUACCCUAAGGGGUGGGAUUGUCGGCUAGUCGUUGCCGACAGAGGAUUAUAGUUUACUCAGAUCCACUAUUUGACAUGUAUGUGACUAAUCAGUCAGUUUCGUGACUCUUGUAGUUUGAUGACCUAUGAGGUCGGUGUACCCUGAGGGGUAGGAUUGUCGGCUAGUGGCUGACGUUAUUUCUGGAUUAUAUUGAUACACUCUUGUGACCUAUCAGUCGGUUCUUGCGUAUACAUUUAGUUGACAUUGAGCAGUACUUGCAUACUUUUGGGAGGAUAUUAAGUUGUUCCAUCCUAGUUGACCUGAGUGAUCGGUACUUAUGCUUUCUUACAGUUUGAUGACCUAUUGGUCGGUUUGUCCCGAGGGGCGGUGAUUGUCGGCUGGUUGCCGACGGUUGGCCUUUGAGCAUAUCAGUAUUGACCGCCCGAGACUUGUACGCAUUUCACAAACACCAGCGGUCUGAUACACCGCAAGAGGGUGUUCUUUUUCGGAAAAAUGGUUGGAGGUGCCAACCCGUGAGGCCAGCGGCCUAGGCUGGGUCAGAUGCAGGUAGCGUGGCAGUGGGCAUAGGCUUGAGGUUUGUGAUGCGGACCAACAGAGCAGUGGUUUCAGAUUGGGUAUUUUUGGACCUAUAGUCUGGUUGACGCAUACUUGUACUUUGUUUGGUAUUACAGUAGCGGCUAGUUAUAUUCCUAUUUACUGUUGUUUACCCAUGCAUCAUUGCUAUUGUAAUAUGGAGCAAUAUGCAAAGCAUUGCUUCUAGUGUGAUGGCAAAUGAUUGUAACUCAACCUUAGGGCGGGUAAAAUUUCAUUCUCUUCAUCAGGUAAGUUCCAGAUAUCAUUGUCCCUAAUUGCCAACCACUCACUUUCCCUCCUCUUGAAUCGCAUCAAACUACCUAAAGCCUUUGCUGCCAAGGGAACACCGCCGGCUUUCUUCACAAUCCCUUUUGCGAUGGUUACCAAGUUUUCUGUCUUCUCUCCGGCAUCCAACCCGAAUGCUCUCCGCUCAAACAACAACCAGCAAUCAUCCUUCGAUAGACCGCGCAAAAUGUGAGGCUCAACCGUGCCCAUCAAAGAGGCAACUCUUACGCUCCGAGUGGUCACUACGACCUUACUUCCCCUGCCGCCGACGGUCAGCAAAGUCCUCAAUCUAUCCCACUUCUCAGAAUUCUCAUUCCAAACAUCAUCGAGCACAAACAAGAAUCUCUUUCCUUCCAGCCUUUCCAUAAGCGAACGCUGCAUCGACUCCAUGAUCGUGAGAUCAAACUUCGCUCCGGUUACAGAUUCCACGAUCGAUCUAAUAAGCCGUCUAGAGUCAAAAUCAUCAGAGACACAAACCCAUAUCAUCUUCUCGAAAUGGCCGCGCACCCUUCGAUCACUAUAGACUAACUGCGCGAGAGUCGUCUUACUGAGCCCUCCCAACCCGACAAUCCCAAUAACCCCAGGAUCAACUUCACUAGACAUGUCCAGCAGAAACUCAACUAUCAUUUCUUUAUCCUCCUCUCUACCGUAAACCUCCGAUUCGACUACGAAAGACCCAGUUUCCGCUCUCGCCGAAUUCUCUAUCUUACAAUCAUGUACCACUCCUCCCUCACGUAAAUGAAACUUGGAUCUCUCGUCCGCGAUCUUGUCUAACCUCUCCCUAAUUUUUUUAACCUUCCUGGCUAUUCUAGACUGAAACAUGAUAGAGUUGGGGAGGGAAGACAGCUUACCGAGCACCGCCUUCGUGCCGCUUCCGUUCCGGCGCCGGGAAGUCCUUCUGAGUGCUUCGGCGGCGGCGACCUCGUCGAGCACGUCGUCGGCGUCGAAUGCGGCGUCCUUGAGCCUCCUCAGCCACCCGGCGAGAGCUCGCUCCUGCGACUGCCGCGCCUCCGCGUCCGCGAGCACGUCGCGGAUCGCGGUGAGGGUCGUCUCCAGCUCGCUCAGCUCUUUCUCGACGCCCAUCACUAGCCCGAACUCCUUCGUGACCUGGGCUCCCAGCUUGUCAAACACCAACCUCAGGAGGCUCGAGCUCACUACGUCCGCCAUCGUUGCUAGCAAGUUCUCUUCUCUGAGUGCUUCUCUGAUGCUUUGGUGCGAUGGAAUCUGAUUAAUUAAAUACUAGUCACCAAAAGAGAGAGAGAGAAGUUUCUGGGAAGUGAGUGCUUUUGAAAAAGAAAGUAAAGCAGAAGAGAACAAAUGUAGUUAAUUUUCCCGGUAGAGAUUCUUCUUUGAGUGGGGAUGAUGGGAUGUGGAAGUGACCUUGUGGCGACGAAGUAGGUUGCGAGGAGGGCUCACCUCUCAUUGUACACGGCGUGUAGAGACAAAAGGCAAAGAGGAAAACUAAUAAUAAAUAAUAGUAGGAAAUGAAGAAGGAAAAGAGAAAAGGCGAAACAGGGAGGGGGAGACUGCCUUCGGCGCCCUAAUCCCGUGUGGGCCUGCCGCCCCCCCGCCGUCCUCCCCAUUCAGAUUUCUCGCAACUUCCGCCUCUAUAUGACUGACUCCUUUAAUUUACAACUUUCAGCUCAUUUCUUGCGGAAGAAGAGCGCAAGCUCUCCCGCGCGUCCUGUUAAUCACCUGCCGCGAUGCAGGUCGGAAUUUGUUUUGGGGGACGUGGGAACGACAUUUCUACUUCGAGACACAAUUUCUUAUCUAUAAUAACAAGCCACCCCAGUUACUUGGUACUUACUACGUGAUACUCGGACAAGGACUUUUUUUGAAACUAACCCUGUGAAAUUUCAUAUUUGCCAAACUAACCCUGUGAAAAUUUUAUUUGUGAAACUAACCCUCCUCUCGCCACCUCAGCUGCCACAUCAGCAUAUAUCACAAAGACGGUGACUCGUUCACCGUCUUUCGUGUAUACUUCUUGAAGACGGUAAAUGGUUAACCGUCUUCUCGAGGCGUGGACCACCGUCAGCAAUUCCCCCGCCUUCUCAGCAAUUCCCCGCUUAGCCCAUGGUGCCCAGAUAAGACGGUAAAUGGUUAACCGUCUUCUCUUGGCGUACCCUGAGAAGACGGUUACUCGCUUACCGCCUUGUCGAAGACGGUGAAUGGUUUACCGCCUAUCUAUCUGAAAACUUUACCAUCUUUAGUGUAGAACUCCACCCAGCCUAAUUUCGCCAAGUGCUGGACAGGGGGCUAAAACACCCAUAAGACGGUGAUUCGUUCACCGUCUCAUCUCGGCUCCACUAAACACGGUUGGUUGGACUCCUAGAUAAGACGGUGAACUGUCUACCGUCUUCAUUACACGGUUAACGAUUCACCGUCUUAUGAAGACGGUGAACGGUUCACCGUCUUCAAUUAGGUUACCCCACCCCAGACCGAGCCCGAUACCUCUCCCUUCCUUUUCCCGCUCACGCUCUCUCUCUAUCUCUCUGUCUCUCUCCACGAGCCGCCCGUCGUCGCCGCUACCAGUGCCGAGGUCGCCGCCCCCUGUCGCCGCCGCCCGUGCCGAGGUCGCCGCCCCGUGUCACCGACGUCGCCGCCCCCUGUCGCCGACGUCGCCGCCCGUGCCAAAGUCGCCCCCUGUCGCAGCCGCCCGUGACAAGGUCGCUGCCCACGGUCGCCCACGGUCGCCGACGUCGCCGCCGCCGCCCCUGCCGAGGUCGCUGCCCAUCCCUCUCUCAGGUGUGUUUUCUAGUGUAGGUUUAAUAUAAAUGUAGUUGUUGUAAGCUUCUCUAACUGUAAGUGUAGGUUUAAUGUAAAUGUAGGUUUAAUGUAACUGUAAGUGUAGGUUUAACUCUAGUGUAGGUUUAAUGUAAAUGCCUUUGAAAUGCCUUAUGCCUUUGAAAUAAGAGCCUUAUGCCUUUGAAAUGCACAAAUGCACAAAUGCAUUAUGCCUUUGAAAUGCAUAAUUUGGAGGUUAUUUUAAAUGCACAAAUGCACAUGUGUAAGAGCCUUAUGCCUUUGAAAUGCACAAAUGCACAAAUGCACUAUAGAAACCUCUUUUGGAGGUUAUUUGGUUACUAAUUGGAAUAGCUUAUUUGGUUACUAAUUGAUUUGAUUUCGAGAUUGGAAAUAAUUAGUAUUCUACUAUAGAAACCUCUUUUGGAGGUUUAUUGCUAGUUGUUGGAAAUAAUUAGGAUUCUUUUUCCUGUGUAGUUAAAAUGGCUAGUCGUCGGAUGUCUCUUAGUGUCCAUUGGGAUGGACAGUUAGUUAUGGAUGGAAAUGGUCCCCGAUAUUUCGGUGGUCGUAAGAAAUUAAUCGCGAUUCGUUCAGAUACGACCUAUACGAAUUUUGAGAGGAGAAUGUAUCGUUUAGUAAAUUGUAAUAGAGAAGAAUGUUGUCUUAAAUACAAAAUUCGAUGCCCUAUGGGAGCGAAUGAAUAUAUUGAUCAUGAUAUAGUAGAUGAUGAAUCAUUGGAGGGUUUAAUUGGAUUGUCUGAACAUUAUGGAUGUGUGUCGCUAUACAUCGAGAAAGAUUUAUAUCCGUCGGAGACACAAUAUCAGUCGCAAGGUUAUUACACAAGCCUGCUACAAAAUGACAUCGAUGUGGGUUUUCCGGAUGCUCUAAUUGGUGACCGUGAAGUUGGUAAUGAACCAGACGUAAGAAUGACAAGGUCAGUAAAAUAUCUCAAGAUUUAGGUGAAUAUUUCUUUUAAUUAUGAAAUAUUUUGAUAAAUUAUAAUUAUAAAUACUGCAGACAGAGUCAGUCUCCACGUGCGCAACCCUCGACGUCACGUGCCGAACCCUCGACGUCACGUGCGCAACCGUCGACGUCACGUGGCAACCCUGGACGUCACGUGCCGAACCCUCGACGUCACGUGCGCAACCGUCGACGUCACGUGCGCAACCCUGGACGUCACGUGCCGAACCCUCGACGUCACGUGCGCAACCAUCGACGUCACGUGCGCAACCCUCGAUGUCACGUGACGAAGCCAGGAUAUUUCAUACACCUAAUGAAAAUUACGAUUGGGGGUAAAGAAAAUUUGGAUUAUUUAAUUAAUAGUAAAUGAAAUUUUAUCUAAUAUAGUAAACAUUCGGGACCUAUUGCAGGCUAUCUACACCGUAUACAAAUUGGAAUGAAGUUCUUGAUAAUAUUGUCGAUGAAGGAGAUGUUAAUGACGGUAAUCAGGACGAUGAACUUAUUCCUAAUGAUGGUCAUCAGGAGGAUGCACCCAUUGAUAAUGACGGUAAUCAGGAUGAUGCACCAAUUCAUGAGGACGACGAUUGGAAUGAUCUAGCCGUUGACAUUGAAGAUGAUCACGAUGGUGGAUUAAAUUGCCUUGCGAAUGCCAUUUACAGUUUGAAUGACGACCCGCAUGUAAACAACGAUUAUGUAGACAAUCCUGACGAGGAACUUGAUUUUAUUGACCAUCCGGAGCAAUUUCCUACGGAUAAUAAUUGGAUACAACAGUAUGUUGUGAAUUCGAGUGAGUUCGAUGUUAGACGUACCAAUUCCGAUCUACCUAGCAUUGACGGGACUUGGCUCCGUGAAAUCUUUAAUGAUAAGGCAUCUUUAGUGGACGCUCUUGAUCGAUGGCACAUUUCUCACAAUGUUCAGAUGAAAGUUGUGAAAUCUACCAAAACAACUUAUACAGUGAAAUGUACAGUUGAGGGAUGUCCUUGGAGGUUACACGCAUCGGUUCCUAAGGAUGCAACAUAUUUCAGAGUUAAGACAUACGCGGGUCAACAUACUUGUGUUAUUCCAAUGCUAAAUGCGNNNNNNNUAGGCUGGCUAGGGAGAUAAGACGGUAAAUUGUUUACCGUCUUUUAGAAGACGGUAAACAGUUAACCGUCUUAUAUAGGCACCUUGUGCCACGCGGGGAAUUGCUGAGAAGGUGGUAGGGUGCGCGGGGAAUUGCUGAAAAGGCGGCAUGCUACGCCUAGAGAAGACGGUUAACGAUUUACCGUCUGAAUAAGACGGUUAACCAUUUACCGUCUUCAAGAGCUAUACUUAUAGACGGUGAACGAAUAACCGUCUUUAUGAGAAAUGCUGAUCUGGCCGCUGAGGUGGCGAGAGGAGGGUUAGUUUCACAAAUAAAAUUUUCACAGGGUUAGUUUGGCAAAUAUGAAAUUUCACAGGGUUAGUUUCGAAAAAAGUCCCUCGGACAACUCAAAUAUAAAAAGGCUUAUAUUUUAUACAUUUUAAUUUUUACAUUAAAAUUUUUAUUUUUUAAAAAUUUUCUUUCAAAAGUUAGCUCGUAUACGGUCGUUUAUAAAUAAGCCGAGCACAAACAAUUAAAAUUUUAUUUUAGAUUUAAAAAUUAAACUAUUUAUGAUGGCUCGCUUCCCGUUUGUGAAUUUGAUGCCUUUAUUUACAUAAUAAGAAAAUUGAAUUUGAUUUGAAUUUAGAAUUUACUAUUUUGAUAUCAAAUUAAAUAUUAUUAGAUAAUCUUUUUUCUUCAAAAACUUACCCUACCCUAUAACAAUAUUUUUAAUAUUAAUAUUCAACAAUAUUCCUUUACCAAAUAGGCUAUAUCCCUGUUUAAUCAAAAAAAAAAAAAAUUCAACAAUAUCAAUUAUCUAUUUGCAUUAAAAAUUCAUAUAUCUCAAAAAGGCCAAAAAAAUUGGAUAACUUAUUAAAUUUGAAUUUUAAAUUUAAUAAAGAAAGUAGUAGAAUACAUAAGUGAAUUUGAUGGUUUUAUUUGCGGGAGAAGAAAAUUACAAUGCAGGAGAAACCAUAAGUGAGUUUGUUUUUUUUUUUUUUUCAAGUUGGCCACACAUUCUAUAUAAUCUGAUAUAAUAUAACACUAUAGAGAACGAGCAUUAAUGAUUGAACUGGUAUUAAAAAGUACCCACUAAAACAAAUUUACAAAAUACAAAGUCAUAAAAUACAAACUUGCAGAAGAAUAGACUUAAAGACCCGCAAACAUCAACACAUUUUCUUAAUUUUUUUUUUUUUUCUAUGGCCACUGUAUACAAUAUUCCAAAACAAAGGCUAUGGGAGUUCCGCAAAGCAUCUGAUGAAGUCUAGAUCAUCACCGUGCAUAGUAUUCCACCAGCAGAAGUUCAGACAUUUUACGAAUGUUAAGCGCUCCGCGAGAAUUUGCAGAACAGAUGGUCCAGCAGGGUCAUCAGAAUUUGCCAAGUGUACAACCUUGAGAUUUGGAAAUGCGCCGCGUGGGAGAGAAGAUAGCAGCAGCUCACUAUUAGCGCACAAAUACAGCUGCUCGACGGACGGAAAAGACAAGGGCAAUUCUUUUAGUUUUGGGCAGUCUAGUAGCCUCAACUCCGACAGACAAGGAAAAGAUCGUUGCGUAGCUGACGCUUCACACCACUCCUCCAACUCAGGCAUGUGUUCUAGACUCAAGUUCUCCAAUACAGGGAACGCACCAUCGCCUGCACCAUAGAACUCUGAGCCCAAACUCUUGACGGCUAGGAGAGAAACGAGAUGCAGGACUUUAAGAGCAGGCAACUGCCCGAGAGGCGGAAGAGACUUGACGGCGGGAAGCUUCUCGAGAGCAAGGGUCUCAAGGUUAUGCAAUUGACUUAUUCUUGGGAGGGUCUUGCAUCUGAAACAAGAAGAUAACUGAAGCUGAACAAGAUUUGGGAGACUUGACUCCAACCAUUUCGGAAAAAUUUUGCCCGGGUAGCGAAUUAUCUUAAGUAGGGUCAAAUUUUCAUGCGGUUGGAGGCUGUCAAGGACUUCUUCGGCUACCGCAAGUGCAUUGAUCAGACCUUGCCUGCUUCUUCCUUCUACAUCAGUGUGCACGCAUGCUUCCAUUUGCUUCUUGUAAGUAUCCAAGUCCCAUGCUAAUGAUAGUGCAUUAAGGCCAUCCAUUUCUAUUAAGUUAGCCUCUCUAGCCUGCUGGAAAUUCUUCACAUUUUCCAGGCUAUAAAUCAAUAAGAUGCCUUUAGGAUUAAGCCUGUUGAGCUCCUUGAGGCCGCACUCGCUCUUUUCGCAAAGAUCAAAGAGAAGUACUUCUCGAAAGUAGAUUGGCAGUCUAAGUCCAGCGGGCAUGCGCGUUAAUUUAUGGCAAUGACUUGUGCUAAGACAUGUAAGACUUUCUGUGUUCUUCUUGUUCUCCGGGAGCUCGCGUAGAAGGAGACAGCAUCUUAGAUUAAUUGAUCGAAGAUCUGAGAGGCAACAUAUGCUUUCGGGCAACUUUUUUAUUCUGGUAGAUGUGAGGUUUAAGGUUUGCAAACUCUUUAAAUGACCAACGGAAUUUGGUAGGGAGACAAAGCUUGUGCAACAUUCAAGAUUCAGUGUUAGUAGAUUGGAGAGAUUACUAAUGGAGUCUGGUAAUUCUUUUAAAAAUCGACAUCCUUGCAGGUCCAAAACUUGCAGAUUCUGCAAGAAACGAAUAGAUUGUGGGAGCGUUUCGAGGUUUGUGUAUGACAAAUUGAGAUACCUUAGGUGUCUAAGAUUACUAAUUGAAUUUGGCAAUUCUUUGAUCGGGUAGUAUUUAAGAUAAAGUGCUCUUAGAAGCUUCAUACUAGAGAAAACAGUUUGAAGAAUCUUCAGCAUCACAUCUUCAUUUCCUAUCUGCACAAAAGGAUGUGACUUGAGGAAGUAAAAGGUUCGCAACUUUUUGACUUUAUUGAGGAUCUCUAGAACGGAAGGUAUUAUCUCUAUUGUGUAGAUAAAAGAUGAAUAACGUGUCGUAGGAUAUAUGUCUCUUCUAUUGACAGCUUUGGCAAUGCUUGAACAUUCUUCACUUGAAACAAAUUGAGCAAGAUCAUGAACAAGAUCAUGAAUCACGACAGCACCUAUCACAUGCCUAUGUUCCUCGAAAAGUGAUCUCAAUAAUAGCUCUUCGAUAUAUUGGUAACCAACGUCUUCCAAUUCCACACUCUCGGUGAGUGAUUGAACAAAUCCUUCAGCAAUCCAAAGUUGGAUCAGGUCCUUAGCUAUUAUAAUAGUAUCCUUUGGAAAUAUGGAGCAAUAUGCAAAGCAUUGCUUCAGGUGCGACGGCAAAUGAUUAUAACUCAACCUUAGAGCUGGUAAAAUCUCAUUCUCUUCUAACUUCCAACUAUCAUUGUCCCGAACAGCGAGCCACUCACUUUCCCUUCUCUUAGAGCGCAUCAAGCUACCUAAAACCUUCGCUGCCAGCGGGACACCGCCACAUUUUUUCACAAUCUCCUUUCCAAUGGUAACUAAGUUUGCGGUCUUCUCAUUAGCACCUAUCCCAAAUGCUCUUCUCUCAAACAACAAACAACAAUCAUCCUCAGAUAAAGUUUUCAAAAAGUGUGACUCCACCGUGGCCGUUACUGAGGCAACUCUACUACUGCGGGUGGUCACUAUAAUUUUACUUUCGGUCACGCCAAUAGUUAGCAAAGUCCUAAAUUUGUCCCAUUUCUCAUAAUUUUCAUUCCAUACAUCAUCCAGCACGAGCAAAAAUCUCUUUUUCGCAAGCUCCUGUUUUAGUUUAGACUGCAUCGACGCCAUGCUUGUGAGAUCGCAAGAAUUUUCUGUUGUAUGCUCUAUUAUUGAUCUGACAAGUCUUUUGUGGUCAAAAUCAUCAGAAACACACACCCAUAUUCUCUUCUCAAAGUGAUCGCUUAUUUGUUGAUCAUUAUAGACUAAUUGCGCGAGUGUCGUCUUACCGAGCCCUCCCAUCCCAACAAUUGCUAUAAUCCCGAGAUCACCUCCAGACUUGUCCAGGAGAAAUUCGAUGAUCUUUUUCCUAUCUUCUUCCCGACCAUAAACUUCCGAUUCGAUUACGAAGGAACUAGUUUCUUCUCUUGCAAUAUUCUCUUGCCUACAGCAUUUUACUACAGAUCUCUCUUGCAAAUGAAACUUAGAUCNGAUUAUUAUUGUGGUUUAUAUGAUGAGACAAAACUGACAUGUCUUAUUUUACCAGAAUUAAUAAAAAAAAUUUACAUGAUUGGACCUAACUGAAAUAAUAUACAAAAGAUUUAGAUCCUAGUAGCAAAAAAAAACAAAAAGAGGUAGAGACCAAAAUUAAAAAAAGGAAGAAGGUUGAGGACCAAUUGUGCAAUUAAUCCAAAUUUGGAGAAAUGCUAUUGUUACAUUCCAAAAGUGAUAUAAAUCUAACAUCCUCUUCAUCCAAGGGUCCAUAUUGGAUCCUUAUUUUGUCAAUUUUUUUAAUACUAAUAAUUUUAAAAAAUUAAACUCUAAGAUACGGAUGUAAAUUAGAUACAUUAAUCUUUUUUCGAGUGUACAAGUUCCAUUUCUCUUGCUCGUAUGCCGUGGUCAAAUAGGAAAUAUGUACAAUAAUCACGACAAAUAUGACUUAGAAGAAGUUUUUAGCCUAUGAUGUUGACCAUCAAGGUUGGUUUACCAUAUCUUUUAUUAUUUACUGUAAUUUUAUUGGCCAACACGAUCCACAGCUGCAUAUUGUGAAAUAAUACAAAUUAACUUUGCACUUUAAAAGCUUAACCCGAUAAAAAAUAAUAUUUAAAUAUUUUUAUAUUUAACAGUCUGCCUCUGUACUCGAGAUUUUUUAUAAGGUCCAAGACGUGAAUUUUAAUUAAAUUUAAAUAAAAAUAAUAAUAAUGCUAAGAGCCAUAGGGGUACUAUUUUGACAACCAGAGUAAUCCAAAUGUGAUAAAAAGGCGCAAUUAAUCGAGAACCAAAGGAUAUUCGAGAAGCAUCACCCAUUAAAUUUAAAGCAAAAAAAAUUCUUUCGCUCGUUUUUCUUUUGAAAGAACAGAAGUAGCAAGUGAGCACUCACAGACCAGGAUAGUUCACACAAUCUUUAAUUAAUGCAUGUACAAAAACUCAGGUGCUUCUCUUCAUUAAUCAAGCUUAUUCUAGCUAAGUCUAAUAUGAGCCAAUAGGCCACAUAAUUUGCAACUAUGACCACAACUCGGAUCAAAUCGCCCCCAAAGAACCUCUUUAACUCUUCUGAGUAGAAGUCCUGACAAGCUCAAAUUCUCCUCUGCUAAUGCUUUACGAAAUUCUUUCGAGUGUUGCCUUCGAAUCCAGCAUAACUCGGAGUGCCUCGAGCCCUUCUCAGAAAGGAAAAAACAGAGCAGUCUUCAAAGACAGCUCGGCGUCCUCUUUGCGAAGGCAUGAUCGUCAAGUCAUGCAAACCAUCCAUAAUAAUAUAUAGUUCAGUGGUCAUGUUUUUCAUGCUCACUGGUAGCUCGUCUAAAGCGUGACAACACCAUAGAUUCAUCGAUCGAAGAUUGGAGAGGUGACAAACAGUUUCAGGUAACUUUUGGACUCUAGAAAAUGAUAGGUCUAAGUGUUGCAAGCUCCUUAGAUUACCGGUCGAACUUGGUAGGGAAAAAAGGCUCUUGCAGGAAGAAAGGUUCAAUGUUAACAGAUUGGAAAGGUCACCAAUGGAUUCUGGUAGUUCUUUUAAAGAUUCGCAUAGCAUUAGGUUCAAAAUCUGUAGAUUUUGGAGGAAGCCGAUAGAUGUUGGCAGUGUUUCGAGGACGCUACAUUGUUGUAGGUUCAAAAUCUGUAGAUUUUGGAGGAGGCCGAUAGAUGUUGGCAGUGUUUUAAGGACGGUGGACGACAGAUCGAGGUACCUAAGAUGUCUAAGAUUACUAAUUGUAAUCGGUAACUCUUCGAUCGGGUAGUAUCUGAGAUGAAGCGCCCUUAGAAGCCUCAUGCUAGAGAAAGUAGUUUGAAGAAUUUGCAACAUCGUAUCUUCCUCGUCUUUCUGUUUUUGAGAGUUCUCUGUUUCCACCAGAACACCAUGUGAUGCAUGAAAGUAGAAGGUUCUCAGCUUCUUGGCUCUAUCGAGGAUCUCUAAAAUCGAUGGUGUCGACUCUUUUGCGUAGAUAAAUGAUGAAUAACGUGUCAUAGGAUAAAUGCCCUUCCUGUGACCGUCUUUGUCGACGAUUGAACAUUCUUCACCGGAAACAGAUUGCGCAAGAUCGUGAACUAAAUCAUGGAUCUUGAUAUUGGUUAAUGUGCCAUCUGACCAUAUAUCAACUUUCUCAACUAGUGAUCUCGAUAAUAGCUCUUUCAAAUAUUGCAUACCCACGUCCGCCAAUUCCACACUUUUGUCGAAUGGCGGCUGAAUGAAGCCUUCAGCAAUCCAAAGUUGGAUCAGAGUCUCAGUUUCUAUAAAAAUAUCCUUUGGAAAUAUGGAGCAAUAUGCGAAGCACUGCUUCAAGUGCGACGGUAAAUGAUUAUAACUCAACCUGAGAGCCGGCAAAAUCUCAUUCUCUUCUAAGUUCCAAAUCUCAUUGUCUCAGAUUGCCGACCAAUCGCUCUCCCUUCUUUUCGAAUGCAUCAAGCUACCUAAAGCCUUUGCCGCCAACGGGAUACCGCCGCAUUUUUUCACAAUCUCCUUUCCAAUGGCAACCAAUUUUUUGGUCUUUUCACAGGCGCCUACUCCGAAUGCUCUUUUCUCAAACAACAACCAACAAUCAUCCUCGGAUAAAGCCUUCAAAUAGUGCGGCUCCGCCGUGGCCAUUAGGUAGGCUACUUGGCUGCUUCGGGUGGUCACUAUAACUUUACUUCCCACACCACCAAUUGUUACUAGUAGAGUCCUAACAUGGUCCCAUUCCUUAUAAUUUUCAUUCCAUACAUCAUCCAACACGAGCAAAAAUCUCUUUUUUCCAAGAUCCUGUCUUAGUUUAGACUGCAUCGAUGCCAUGCUCGUGAGAUCGCAAGCAUUUCCCGUUAUAUAUUCUAUUAUCGAUCUGACAAGUCUUUUAGGAUCAAAAUCGUUAGAAACACACACCCAUAUUUUCUUCUCAAAGUGGUUGCUUACUUGUUGAUCAUUAUAGACAAAUUGGGCGAGCCUCGUCUUGCCAACCCCUCCCAUCCCAACAAUUGCUACAAUCCCGAGAUCACCUCCGGACGUGUCCACAAGAUAUUCGAUGAUCUUUUUCUUAUCUUCUUCCCUACCAAAAACUUCCGAUUCAAUUACGGAAGAGCCGGUUUCUCCUCUCGCGGCAUUCUCUUGCCUGCAACAUGUUAUUACUAAAGAUCUCUCUUGCAAAUGAAACUUAGAUCUCCCCUCUGCGAGCUCAUCUAGUCUCUCCCUAAUCUCUCUAAUCUCCCUACCAAUCUUAAACUGAGAAAUAAAUGAGUCAGGCAAAGAUAACAGGUUACUCACCGUUCCCAUCAUCCAGCUAGCAGUACUGCUUUCCGGAUCAGCUAAACUCCUCUUCCGGUUCUUGGCCAAGCCCUCGUCUAGCAGAUCGUCGAUAUCAUAGGCCACGUCUUUGAGGCGUCGCAGCCACCCUUUGAGAGCUUUCUCCUGCACUUGCCGCGCCUCCGCAUCCUCGAGCACGUCGCGGAUGGCGGAGAGGGUGCCCGCCAGCUUCUUCAGCUCGGUGCCGACGUCCAUCAGCUGACCAAACUCGCUUGUGAUUCGGUCCCUCAGUCUGUCCAGCAAUGAGUUCAGGACGCCGGAAGCCACUACGUCUGCCAUUUUCUUUUUGAUGUAAUCAAUCGAUCGAUCGAUCAAGAAUUGAAUGAAAUUAAGAUGAAUAAGGCUAAACGAAAGGAGGAGAGGAGACCAGUUUUACGCUGUGCAAAAGACUUGACUUGAGGAUCCUUCCAUGUCGGCGGGUGAUUGGCCUGAGAGUAGAAAAAAAAGUCAUACAAGAAGAAAAAUGGAGGGCGAAACAUUAUCAUUCUCGCAAGAAAAAUAAAAGGGGGGCCAAAGGACAUUCUCAGGUUGACCAAAUCAACCUGCGUACUCUUUCUGCAAUAUUUUGAUUAGGACUUUCUCAAUGACCUCUCUUGUGGUUCAAAAACUAAAUUUUAGAAAAUAAUAGGGAAGUCUAAUAUCCUAAAUAUUCCUCUAAAAAUUAAAAUAUAUUAAAUAACUUUGCAAAGGAGCGUAACUUUCAAAAAUAACCUUUAUACUAACUCACCGUCAAUUUUGAAUUAACGGUAAAUAAAAUUUCAAUUUUAUUCCUAUUGUCAUUACCAUCUUAAAAUAUUUAUUUGGCUAUAAAAUCAUAAAUAAUUUUAUAAACACCCUUUUAAAUUCAUAAAUAACCUACAUUUAGAGAUAGUUUUUAUCAAUUAAAAAAAUAUAUAUAAUCCUGACAAGUUAAGCUAAAAAAAUCUCAAAAUCAAAAAAUAUAACCUAAAUAUAUAUAUAUAGAGAGAGAGAGUCCGACUACUAUACUCUUAUGAGUACGAUCUCCUUCGUACUCAUAAGUCAUUUUCGAUGAUAGAGCUUCCGAAUCGACGAUCCAUACCGUUAAACAUUUUUUAGAGCAUUUAAAACUUUUAGAAAUCAAAUUUCAAAAUUUUUUGACAUCUUUUAUUUUACGAUCAAAAGCUCACAAAAUUGACAAAUUUUAACGGUCGAUAUAGAAUACUUGCUAGUUUAACGGUGCAAAAGAAUCGGAAUAUGUUGAAUUUUUGAUAGAAAAUUCUAUUCACUAUCUAGCUAAAGAUCAAUAACUCCAAUCUUAAAUUGAAGAAUCCGAUCAUCCAUUUUUAGGACGUCGUUCGAGUUUGACCGUUCAUUUUAUGCCCGCCCGAUCGACUUUAUUAUGAUUUCGAAAAAUUACGAAAUUUAUUUUUUAGAAGUUUUAAAUAUUCUAAAUCAUAUUUAACGAAGUGAAUCGUCGAUUCGGAAGCUCCAUCAUCGAAAACAACUUAUGAGUACGAAAGGCUCUAUACUCAUAAGAAUAUAGUAGCCCUACUAUAUAUGAGUCCGGCUACUGUACUCUUUUUUUAUUAAACAGGGGUAUAUCCUAUUUGAGAGUACAAGUAAGGUUCGGUUGGAAAGCGAUAAGUGAAGCAGGCUAAAGUAAAUAGGGAAACAGGAAAAGAAGCGAAAACAAGGAAGAGGCCCCAACAGAACAAGAAGAAAGACGGAGAUUUGGAAGCCAACAUAGUUGCAGAACAGCUGCAAAACACUCGGCCGUCGGUGAGACCGUAGUUUAUUCAUCCUUCCCCGAGCGAUAUCUUCCACAAUCACACCGUGUAGAGAAUGCUCUGACCCAGGAAUUCGCUCUGAUUGAGUCAAUCUUCAAACAAUCUCUUGUUCCGCUCAUUCCAUAAUGCCAAGCAAGAAGCAAUGAAAAUGAGGUCGAAAUCAUUCUUAAAAGAUCCAGAGAAUGCAUUUCGAGUCCUACUCCAAAGCUCAGCUAACACUCCAGAGGUACCAGAAAUCAUUCUUAAAAGAUCCAGAGAAUGCAUUUCGAGUCCGGCUACUAUACUCUUAUGAGUACGAUCACCUUCGUACUCAUAAAUUGUUUUCGAUGAUAGAGCUUCCGAAUCGACGAUCCAUACCGUUAAAUAUUUUCUAGAGUAUUUAAAACUUCUAGAAAUCAAAUUUCAUAAUUUUUCGACAUCAUUUACUUUACGAUCAAAAGCUCACAAAAUUGACAAUUUUUAACGGCCGGUACACGAUACUUGCUAGUUUAACGGUGGAAAAGAAUCGGAAUAGAUUGAAUUUUCGAUAUAAAUUCUAUUCACUACCUAGAUAAAGAUCAAUAACUCCGAUCUUAAAUUGAAGGAUCCGAUCAUCCACUUUUAGGAUGUCGUUUGAUUUUGACCGUUCAUUUUAUGUCCGCUUGAUGGACUUUAUUAUGAUUUCAAAAAAUUACAAAAUUUAUUCUCUAGAAGUUUCAAAUACUCUAGAUCAUAUUUAACGGAGUGGAUUAUCGAUUCGGAAGCUCCAUCAUCGAAAACAANUCAGGUACUUUGACGCUUCGUAUACAGGAAAAAUUCCUUUGUAUACGGCGGAUUUGUCGGCGUGCCCGGGGAACGAGAUAUCCGGGGCGUGACAUAUAUAUAUAUAUAUAUAUAUAUAUAUAAGGGUCCAGCUACUAUACUAUUAUGAGUACGAUGCGUUGUUUUCGAUGAUAAAGCUUCCGAAUCGACGAUCCACACCGUUAAACAUUAUUUACAACAUUUAAAACUUUUAGAAAUCAUAUUUUAUAAUUUUUCAACAUCAUUUACCUUAUGAUCAAGAGGUCACAAAUUUGACAAUUUUAACGGCCAGUAUGGAAUACUUACUAGUUUAAUGGUGUAAAAAAAUCGAAAUUUGUUGAAUUUUUGAUAGAAAAUUUUAUUCACUACAUAGAUAAAGAUCAAUAACUCUGAUCUUUAAUUGAAGGAUCCGAUCAUCCUUUUUUAGGACGUCGUUCGAUUUUGAUCGUUCAUUUUAUGCCCACUUGAUGGACUUUAUUAUGAUUUCGAAAAUUUACGAAAUUUAUUUUCUAGAAGUUUCAAAUACUCUAGAUCAUAUUUAACGGAGUGGAUCGUCGAUUCGGAAGCUCUAUCAUUGAAAAUAACUUAUGAGUAUGAGGGUUCCAAUACUCAUAAUAGUAUAGUAGCCACGGCUUAUAUAUAAAUAUAUAGAGCAGGGCUGCUGUGCUCUCAGGAGCACGGAGGCCUCCGUGCUCCUGAGCCGUUUUCGAUGAUGGAAUUUUCGAAUCGACGAUCGGUUCCGUNAAUUUUCACUUUAUUUCAAAAGAAAAAAUUGCAUAAGUUUUAAUUUCAUACAACAAAAGAAGUUCCACUUAUUGCUCUAGGUUUUCUAUCUUAAUUUUUUAUAUAAAUAGGCUAUUAAAUUAAAUAGCAAAAUAUAUGUUCUACAAAUUACAAUAAAGUAUCUUAUUUUACAAACCACAUAGUAGUAAAAUGAUAUAUUUUACUAUGUAUUUUAAUAUUUUAAAAUAAAUGUUAUCAUUCUAAAAUACUUUUGUAAAGAAUUUUGAAGUUAAGGGCAAAAUGGGCAACCACAUUCAUGACAAUUUAAACACUGUAGCAUUCUGAAAGAGACGGAAAUCAGUAGUAAGGAUAUAUUUGAAAGAUAAUAAGUAUUUGUAGGCGUAUUUGUGAUAUAAUUAAAUUUAUAGGGACAUCUAUGAUAUUUUUGAAGUUUAGAAGGGCGUGAAUAAAAUUGACUCAAAAUAAUAUGUGUUAUUUGGAGAACAAGAGACAUUGUGAUAUAAGUUAGAAUAAUAGUAAAUUUAUAUUUGAAUGUAUUUAGAGAGUAAAACUAUACGUAGACCGCUCACUUUGAAGAGAUCUAUUAAUUUGAGACUUAAAAAAAAUAAUAAUAAUUUAAAUAAAAAAUCUUUUAUAUUUUUAAUACUCUCAAAAUUGAUAGUUCACGAAUUUUUUUUUUCAACUUAUAUACUUUGUUGUACAACUUAUAACUAACUUAAUCUGCAAACUUAUUUUUACAAAGCUUUACAAUUGAAUUCAACAGUAAUUCUAAAUAGUUGGAUCCCUUUGAGACAAUUAUGGCAAAGUACAGUACUAAUUAAUUAAUUUUUUACGUAGAGUGUUCACGAUAUAUGAGAUAAAAUACAAAGGGUCUUUUUGUUAAAAGAAGUCUUAUUUUACUGUAAUGCCCUAUUUGGAUACACAAUAAAAAAGUUUCAUAGAGUUUAUAUUCUGUAAUUUUGGUUUGAAAGAAAUAGAAAAUUCGGUAACUAUAAAAAAUUCCACAGAUUUAAUUUUAAACUGUUUGGACAUAUAUCGAUCAUAUCAUUCCACAAAAACUCCAACGAUUAAAAUUUUAUGUAAAUUUAAAAUUUUAAAAUUUAAAAUUUAAAAUUUAACUAUUUAUGAUGGCUAGCUUCUAGUUUGGCACUUUUUUUGUGUAGUGAAUUUGAUGGCUUUAUUUGCAAAAUAAGAAAAUUAAAUUUGAUUUGAAUUUAGAAUAUACUAUUUUGAUUUGAAGUUAAAUAAUAUAAAAUAAUUAUUUUUCUUCAAAAACCUCAACUAUCAUAAAUUACUAUUUUUAAUAUUAAUAUUCAACAAUCUCAAUUACCUAUUUGCAUAAAAGAAAAUUCAUUUAUCUCAUAAAGGUAAAAAAAAAAUUGGAAUGAUUAUUAAAUUUAAUUUUAAAUUGGAUAAAGAAAAUAGUAGAAUACAUAAGAGUGUAUUUGGUUCCUUGUAAAAUCAUCCUAAAUUUUUUUACAUUUGAAAGGUGAGAUUCGGUGUUUCAUUACUCGUAAAAAUAUUUUCUCGAAUUUUUUUUUUUUACAUAUUAUAAGGAAAAUGAGGGUUUUUGUUUCCCCAUCUCUUUGAGCGGAAACACCCGGCGUUGAGCACGCGUAACAAAAGCACGCGGUCCACGAGAGGUCCACGGUGGACCUUUUUCUCUCAUAUAUAUAUAUAUAUAUAUAUAUAUAUAUAUAUAUAUAUAUAUAUAUAUAGAGGCUCCUAUGCUUCGAAAGAACGGAGGCCUCCGUUCUUAUAAAUUGUUUUCGAUGAUUGGACAUCCGAUUUAGCAAUCGGUUCCGUUAAACAUGUCAAUGCUAUUAGAACUAUCUAGAAAUCAAAUUUCAUAAUUUUUUGACUUCGUUUGCUUAGUGAACGAGUAGUCUCAAAAUGAACGGCUGAAAAUAAAAAUUUUAUAAAAAACAGUAAUAAAAGACUAAAAUUUCAAAUCGAAAGUAUUAUUCUUGUUCUUGAUGUUAAGUAAAAUUUUCUACUAAAGUUUCAUGUAAUUUGGAUACUUCUACACCGUUGAACUUAAAAACAUGCCACAUCGACCCUUAAAAUAGUUAUUUUUGAGCUCUUUUGUAAAGAUAUUUAAAAUGUGUGUGAAUAUUGCCCACACCCCUUUCAUUUUUACUGUUAGAUAUAUAUAUACACUUGGUACAAUGCAUAAAAUCAAAUACCCAAGUUAGUAGGGUUGUUACAACAGAUCCUUUAGUAUUGGAAACCCAAAUUAGUAGGGCUGUUACAACAGACCCUUUGGUAUUGGGAUUUCAGUUGAUUAAGGGGGUUUGUUGCCUAUUUCCAUAAUACCCCCCCGCAAACAGAUGGGAGGAACGACCAUUAGUUUGUCCUUUAAGUCCAAGAACCGUUGCUUCGACAGCGGUUUGGUUAAGACAUCAGCUAGCUGAUCAGCAGUGGGAAUGUAUGAAACUUGAAGUUGUUUCUUGCGGACUUGAUCUCGGACGAAGUGAAAAUCAAGCUCAAGAUGCUUUGAGCGAGCGUGGAAAACUGGAUUUGCUGCUAGAUAUGUAGCUGAGACAUUAUCACACCAUAUUCGGGGAGUGGUAGGAAGGGGCUGGUGUAAUUCCCGAAGAAGACAUUGUAACCAGUAAACUUCAGAUGUAGCAGAUGCUAAGGCACGAUAUUCAAAUCGGUGCUGGAUCGAGCGACUGUAUUUUGUUUCUUUGAACUCCAUGAGAUCAAAUUAUGGCCAUGAAAGACAGCAUAGGCAGAGGUACUCUUUCGAUCACUCGUGUCACCUCCCCAAUCGGCAUCAGAGAAGGCAAAAAGAGAUGGGGAAGUAGAAGAUUUAAGGAGAAGGCCAUGGUCGAUGGUUCCUCGUAAGUACCGGAGUAUUCUCUUCACUGCUUGCCAAUGAUUGAUGGAAGGUGAGUGCAUGAAUUGAUUUACCUUGUUGACAGACAUAGUGAUGUCAGGUCUGGUGAGAGCUAAGUACUGAAGCGUACCUACUACUUGACGAAACAAGGUAGGAUCUUCAAAGUUGUUGGAAGAGUCCUGGACUAAGUGGACUUGUGGAGAGGAUGGCGUUGAUACAGGUGUAGCAUCAUGCAUAUUCACACGUCUCAAAAGGUCCCUGAUGUACUUAGACUGGGAGAGUUGAAGUCCAUUUGAGAGCCAAGUCACCUCUACUCCAAGAAAGUAUGUAAGGGGGCCCAAAUCUUUGAGUGCAACAACUUGCCCAAGCUGAUGAAUAAUGUCAUGAAGAAGUGAAAUGGUGGAUCCUGUCAAAAUCAGAUCAUCAACAUAUACAAGACAAUAGGUAGUAUGUUGGCCAGAGGAAUAGAUAACAAGAGAGCUAUCAGCCUUGGAUCCUUUAAAGCUAAUAUUUUGUAAUGCUGUUGUGAGGCAAAAGUACCAAGUUCGGGGAGCUUGUUUUAAUCCGUAUAAGGACUUCUUUAAAGAACACACAUGAUGUGGGUGAUUUCGAUCGACGAAGCCUUGGGGUUGCUCCAUGUAGACUGGUUCUUCAAGAGUCCCAUGUAGGAAGGCAUUUGAUACGUCUAGUUGACGAAUGGGCCAGCGAGAGUUGAUUGCAAUGGAUAAAAUGAGACGAACUGUAGCUGGUUUAAUGACAGGACUAAAGGUUUCAAUAUAGUCCGCGCCCGGCCGUUGAUGAAAGCCUUUUGCAACAAGUCUCGCUUUAUGGCGAUCAAUUGAACCAUCGGGUUUGGUUUUAAUUCGAUAAAUCCAUUUACAACCAAUGACAUUAGUGGCUUGUGAUCGUGGAACUAAAUCCCAUGUCCCAUUGGCCAUUAAGGCAUCUAUUUCAUCAGCCAUAGCUUGACGCCAAAUUUGUUGCUUUGCAGCCUCUCUAUAUGUGGUGGGGGUAGAGUGAGUCGUGGGCACGACAUGAUGAGCUUUGGGUUUUAAGUGACCAGUUUUGGACCUUGUGACCAUAGGGUGUUGUAUUUGGGUAUUUGUGGUUCGAAUUGGGUAGGCUGGGAGGUCAAUUGUGAGUUGAGGAGCUACAGGCACACCAUUGGAGCUCGGUUGAUUUGGUGGUAGUUGAGGUGUCAUGGGCACGAUAUUGGGAGCUGAUAGAGUGACUGUGGUGUUUUCUGUAGAAGUUGGAGCAUGGCUGUUUGUUGGUGGCGAGGGUUGUGUGUAUCUGGUCGCUAGUGUAGUCAGGACAUUGGGUGUAGUCAGGACAUUAGGUGUGAUUGAGUUAUUGGAGGGUGGAAUGGGCUGACCAAGAGAGAAUAUAGGAAUCGGUGAAGGUGGUGGACCGAGAAUUGAAGAUUUUCCAUCACUUUCCUUGAACGGGAACACUUGUUCAUCAAACAAAACAUGGCGUGAGUGAAAGAUUUUAUUAGUAGAUAGGGACAAACAUUUGUAGCCCUUAUGAAGAAGACUGUAACCAAGAAAUACACACUUAGAAGAACGAGGUUCAAGUUUGUUCUUAGUGUACGGAUGAAGCCAAGGAUAACAACAGCAACCAAAAACACGGAAAAAAUUAUAUUCCGGGUUACGUUGAAAAAUCAUUUGGUAAGGUGAUUUGUGGUUGAGUUUUGGAGUGGGUAAUCGAUUUAUUGUAUAAACCGCAGUGGCAAAAGCAUGGUCCUAGUAUUUUGGCGGUACUGAGGAAUGAUAUAGGUAAGCACGUCCUGUUUCAGUUAUGUGACGGUGUUUUCGUUCAGCAUAUCCAUUUUGUUCGGGUGUGUGUAGGCAAGAGCUUCUUUGUAUAAUGGCAUUUUUAGUUAAGUAAUGUCUGAGGGCUUGAAAUUCCCCUCCCCAAUCGGAUUGGAAUUGUUUGGUGGGUUUCCCAAAAAAAUUUUCAACUGUAGCUCGGAAUUUGACAAAACAAUUGAACACAUCAGAUUUGUGGCGAAGAAAGUAUAUCCAAGUGUACUUAGUGUGGUGAUCAAAAAAGAGUACAUAAUAUAAGCAACCAUCAGAAGAAGGAAUUGGGGCUGGACCCCAUAAAUCAGAACAAAUAAGUUCUAAUGGGUCUGUAGCAUUAUAAUUAGAAUCAUGAAAAGGAAGUUUAUGUGAUUUGCUGACACAACAGGUUUCACAUAAGGAGGACGUAGUCUUAGCUGAAGCAGACAAUUUAUUUAAAGAUAAAACUUUAUUGAUAGUUUUUGAACAAGCAUGGCCUAAUCUAGCAUGCCAAGUAGACAAAGAAACUGAAUUGCAAACUGGAGAAACAGGAUCCGCAGCUAACUGAUAGAGGCCAUCUUUAAUGUAUCCCUGGUGGAGUGGCUGCUUCGUUUUGCAGUCCUUAAUCACAAAAAAAGUAGGAAAAAAUUCAAGUGAGACAUCAUUAGAAGCUGUAAACUGACGAACAGAUAGUAAGUUUGCGUUAGAUUUAGGAACAUGAAGGAUAUUGUGUAAUGAAAAAGGACGAGAAUUGAGAGAUAAAUUAUUAGAACCAAUAUGAGUAAUAGGUAAGCUUUUACCAUUUGUGAGAGUAAUUUCAUCGGUUCCAGAAUAUUUGGAGUGAAUGCCCAGGUUUUCUAGUUCAGAAGUCAAGUGAUGGGUUGCUCCAGUAUCAACGAUCCAUGGUUUGGUUGAUGUGGUGGGAGAUGAAGUGAAGUUGGCUGCUGGUUUUGGUGUGUAAUCAUUAUUGUUGUUGUAUUUAGGAUUUGGACAUUGUUUGUAGGUGUGUCCUUGACCCCGACAAUUAUAACAAAUGGGUGUGAAUGAUUAAGUGUUUGCUUGAGAGGUACGCCCACGACCAGAGUUGGAAUAAUAUCCUCCACGUUUGUAUCCACGUCCUCUGCCUCGCCCGCCACUAUUAGUGUUUUGGCGAGCAUUAUAGUGAGCAACAGCAGAUGCGUUGAGGGAGGGAAUUGAGCUCUUAAGCUGCAUUUCUUCAGAGAGGAGUAAGCCAAAUAAAUCAUCAAAUGAAAUAGAAGUUAACCUUGCCUCAAUGUUGCGGGUGAAAGGUCUGUAAUCUUGUCCGAGACCGCGUAAGAUAUGAUCAAUGAGAUCAUCUUCUGAGAUGGCAGCAUCAAGAGCAAUGAGUUGAUCAAAUAAUCGCUUGGCACGAUCCAUAUAGGUGGCAAUGGAGCCGUUGUCCCGAGAUAAGGCAUGAAGAGCACUUUUGAGAGUACGAACUUGCGCUCUAGAACCAGAAGCAUAAGUGGUUUGUAAACGAGACCAAGCAGCAUAAGCUGUAGUGGCACCAACAACCUGGGGGAGAACGGAUUCCGAAAUAGAGCUUAGAAUCCAACUUAGCACAAUUUGGUCUUUGAUAUACCAGUCUUUGUAUGCUGGAUUUGCUGCGUUGUUAAUUUCUUUAGAAGGAGGAGGUGUGGAUCCAUCUAUAUGAUGAAUCAAUUGUUGGCCACAAAGGAAAGGAGUAAUCUGAGUUUUCCAUAGGAGAUAAUUGGAGGAAGUGAGUUUGAUUGUCAGUUGGUGAUGAACCGAAGGUGGAGUUAUAGGCAUUAGAGAGGAGGACGAAGAGGAAGAGGAUGAUUGUGUGGCCAUGGUGUUUAAACCUUAGCAGGCUCUGAUAUCAUAAAGAUAUUUAAAAUGUGUGUGAAUAUUGCCCACACCCCUUUCAUUUUUACUGUCAGAUAUAUAUACACUUGGUACAAUGCAUAAAAUCAAAUACCCAAGUUAGUAGGGCUGUUACAACAGAUCCUUUAGUAUUGGGAACCCAAAUUAGUAGGGCUGUUACAACAGACCCUUUGGUAUUGGGAUUUCAGUUGAUUAAGGGGGUUUGUUGCCUAUUUCCAUAAUAUUUUGAUCGCUUGGUAAAUGAUGUCGAAAAAUUAUGAAAUUUGGUUUCUAGAUAGUUCUAAUAGUAUAGAUUAUGCCUAAUGGAGCCGAUCGUCGAAUCAGAUGUCUUAUCAUCGAAAACAACUUACAAGCACGGAAGCCUCCGUACUUUCGAAAGCACGGAAGACCUACUAUAUAUAUAUAUAUAUAUAUAUAUAUAUAUAUAUAUAUAUAUAUAUAUAUAUAUAUAUAUAUAUAUAUUAUUUUUACUCUAUAUAUAAAUUAUACAAUAUUUUAUUCAUAAAUUAUCGUUUCUUUAUCCUCCUCUCUACCGUAAACCUCCGACUGGACUACGAAAGACCCGGUUUCCGCUCUCGCUGAAUUCUCUAUCUUACAAUCAUGUACCACUCCCUCGCGCAAAUGAAACUUCGAUCUCUCGUCCGCGAUCUCGUCUAACCUCUCCCUGAUUUUUUUAACCUUCCUGGCUAUUCUAGACUGAAAGAUAAUAGAGUUGGGGAGGGAAGACAGCUUACCGAGCACCGCCUUCGUGCCGCUUCCGUUCCGGCGCCGGGAAGUCCUUCUGAGUGCUUCGGCGGCGGCGACCUCGUCGAGCACGUCGUCGGCGUCGAAUGCGGCGUCCUUGAGCCUCCUCAGCCACCCGGCGAGAGCUCGCUCCUGCGCCUGCCGCGCCUCCGCGUCCGCGAGCACGUCGCGGAUGGCGGCGAGGGUCGUCUCCAGCUCGUUCAGCUCUUUCUCGACGCCCAUCACUAGCCCGAACUCCUUCGUGACCUGGGCUCCCAGCUUGUCAAACACCAGCCUUAGGAGGCUCGAGCUCACUACGUCCGCCAUCGUUGCUAGCAAUUUCUCUUCUCUGAGUGCUUCCUCUGAUGCUUUGUUGCGAUGGAGUCUAAUUAACUAAAUACUAGUCACCAAGAGAGAGAGAGAGAGAGAGAGAGAGAGAGAAGUUUCUGGGAAAUGAGUGCUCUAUAUAUGGUGCUUUUGAAAAACGCGAGUCAAGAAGAAGCGAACAAAUGUAGUUAUGAGAUUCUUGAGUGGAAGUGACUUGUGGGGACGAAGUAGGUUGUGACUUGCGAGGAGGCCUCACCUCUCAUUGCGCGUGUAAAGAUAAAAGGAAGAGAGGAAAACUAAUAUAUAAAGAAUAGUAGGAAAUGGAGAAGUAAUAAAAGAGAAAAGGCGAAGCAGGGAGAGAUACUGCCUUCGGCCUAAUCCCGCGUGGGCCUGCCAAAUCCCCGCCGUCCUCCCCGUUCAGAUUUCAUGCAACUUCUGCCUCUAUAUGACUCCUUUAAUUUGCAACUUUCAGCUCAUUUCUUGCAGGAGAAGAGCGAAAGCUCUCCCGCGCGUCCUGUAACUCCUGUUAAUCACCUGCCACGAUGCAGGUCGGAAUUUGUUGCGGUUACAACAUAUCUAGACACAAUUUCAUAUCUAAACCAAGCCAACCCCAGCUAUUUGAUACUUACUUAGGGGUGUAAUGUGGCACGGCCCACAAUUUUUUUUUGUGCCGAUUCCGGCUAGGGGCCGGCCCAGCCUGGCCCGGUUACAAAUCUGGGCUGGGCCGUGCAGGGCUGGAGCUACCAACUCUCUGGUAAACAUUUUAAACAUUUAUUAAAAUGUAUACAAAAUUUGAUUAUAUAUUUUUGGGAAAACUUUAAAAAACCCCAUGUGGUUUCGCACUUUUUCAUUUUAAUAUCUUGUUAUUUAAAGUGUAUCAAGUUAGUACCCUGUGGUUUCUCACUUUAUCACUUUAGUACCCUGCGGUUUAAAGUGUAUCAAGUUAAUAUUCUAUAGUUUUAUUUUUGUAUUAAGUUAGUAUCCUGUAGUUUUAUUUUUAUAUCAAGUUAGUACCCUAUGAUUUUUAAACCACAUGGUACUAAAGUGAUAAAGUGUGAAACCACAGGGUACUAAAGUGAUAAAGUGUGAAACCACAGUGUACUAAAGUGAUAAAGUAUGAAACCACAGGGUACUAAAGUGAUAAACUGCGAAACCACAUGGUACUAACUUGAUACACUUUAAACCACAUGGUAUUAAAGUGAAAAAGUACAAAACCAUAGGAUACUAACUUGAUACACUUUAAACCACAAGGUACUAAAGUGAGAAAAAGUGAAACCACAAGGGUCUUAUUUGAAGUUUUCCCUAUAUUUUUUACAUAUGUAUUUUUACAGUAUAUAGAUUAUAUUUAUUAAAUUAUAUUUUAGUUUAAAUGGUGAAACCUUAUAGAACCUCGAAUGGCAAAUCUUAUAGAAGCUUUUUCUUUUCCUAUGUAUGAAGAGUUGAAGACUAAAGAGCUCCUCUUAACAACUUUUUUUUCUUAUGAAUUUUUUAAUAAUUUUUUGCUUAUAUAUUCUUUUAAAAAAUUAUUUAGUUACUUACAAGUUCUUACAAAAAAUUUUGUGACACAUAAACCAAAUAUUCAAAAGGCGUAUUUGACCAAAAGUCUUGACAUUGCAUUUCAGAAAAUAAAAAAAAAUAGAAAUUUGAAACUAAAUUCUCCGGAUCUAAGCAUAAAAAGAAAAAAUAUUUUAGUUAAAAAAAAUCACAAAUGUUUAAAUUUUAAUUUAAAUAUAUCCUCCUCAAAAGCCCUUCCGGCUUUUUUUAUAAAAUAACCUUUUUAAAUUUUAUUAUUUACGAAAUAAUCUUGUCUAAAUUAUAUUUAAAAAAUUAAUCUCUUAAAGACGGCGAAUGAUUUAUCGCUUUCAUAAUGAGUCUAAUUUCUUAGAAAAAUGGUAAAUCAUUCACUGUCUUUCGCUUGUUUAUUGUUUCUUUCUAUAAUCCUAACAACCAUAUAAAUAUUUCAACAAAUCACAUAUAAUCUUAACAAUCUGAAAAUUCUAAUAAUUUAUCCAUACAAUCCUAACAAGCAAAAAGAUCCUAAUAAUCUAUCCAUAUAUUCGUAAUAAUCAAACAUUACAUAAUCUUAACAAAUUGAAAAUUCUAAUAAUAUAUUCAUAUAAAUCUUAACAAAUUGAAAAUUCUAAUAAUAUAUCCAUAUAAUCCUAACAAUAAAAAAAAAUAAUAAUCUAUCCAUACAAUUCUAACAAUCAAAUAAAAAUUUUAAUAUUCUACACACAAUUCUAACAACCUCAUUUUUUUUAUUUCCCGUAUAAUCUACGUACAAUUUUAACAACCUCAUUUUUUUUCUCAAAAAAUUAUUAAAAAGACGGUGAAUAAUUCACCGCCUUUAAAAGGCCUUAGAAACUUUCAGAAUGCAGUGAAUGAUUCACCGCGUUUUGAGAGUUAAUUUGUUAAAUACAAAUUUGAUAAGAUUAUUUUGCAAAUUAUAAAAUUUUAGAUGGUUAUUUUGUAAAAUAGUCCCAUCCUCUCCUACUGUCAGACAAGCAACCAAAAAAAUAUGCAUACCUAUAAAAUCUGCAUCCCCCAAAACAGAGUAAGAAAAAUAAACAAAACCAAAUAGAACAAAAAUUUGUGAAAUGAGUAAUUUCAUCAGAAAUAGUAAGGCUGAGCUUGACCUUUCUGACAGUAAAUCAACAAAUAGAAGGAACGAAAAUGAGCAAAGGCAAUAUAUUUUGGAUUGGGGGAGGCAUUGAAAUUGAAUUGUAUAUGAAAUGAGGUGAGUGAAUCCAAAUUGCAUGGUAUGUGAUUAACAUAUGUAAAAGUCAAAUAAAUUUGUAAAACAUGUAAUUACACUAUCUUUCAUUUACAUGGAAUUCACACUCUCGGUAGAAUCAAAAUACCUUCUCUGUCAAACAGACAACUCACAAUCCUAGGGGAUUAAACUCGAGACGAGCUUUUUUGAUCUAACAUUAAAUAAAAACACCCGUGUGCGACAAUCCUUAAAUUGCAUUGAAGUAUUGAAGAUAGCAAGCUAGGUCUAUUCUAGUACUUCAACAGCCCUAAAGUGAAAGAAAAUAAAAAAUAGUCACGAAAAGAAUUCUGAAAAAAAAGUGUUACGAUAAACGCACAAACGAAAACGAAAAUAACGAACACAAAAUAGUCAAACCACAAGCAAAAAUAAAAAAGAACACACAGAUUUACAUGAAAAAUCCUUUAUAGAAAAAAACCACGGAUGAGUGAGGAGAGAACUUCACUAUCGAACAAAAAAGGGGAAUACAAUGUUCGGAGAGUACAACCAACUUCAAUCGGUCGCCUCUAGGGCAAAAACGAAAAGAAAACUCUUAACGGGGCAUGUUGGCCCGAGCCCUCUGCUAUCCACCACAAACAUUUAUUUUUUCCUUCACAAUUUUACUUUCCAAUUUGGUCACACCGCGAAACUGUCGACGAGUCAAAAUUUGAACCGAAGUCGAUUAUCAAUUUCGAAUAACAUCUAACAGAAAGAGAGAUUAAGAUCUGCAAAAAGCAUCAGCUCUUCUUCUGUCUUUUUGCUGCUUUGUUAUUGCAAACUUACUAGACAAAAUGAUGCUGGAUUUCCCGUCAAGUUCAGCAUAGUCAUGCAUAUUGUUCACAAACUCAGAAAUGAAAUUGCCGACAAACUGGAUUUCCUCGUCGUCAUUGUUUUUUGAAAGGAAUGUAUAGGGUAUUUCCUAUACAUUUCAUUGAAUGUAAUAAGAAUUACAUGUAAAACAAGUAUAAAUUAUAAUUGUUGGGGCUGAGUAGGCCCGCAGCAAUAAUUGAUCCCCCAAAUUGAACCCCCAGUUACAAAAAUUUGAACCACAUUAGUGCAUCAUUGUGAGAUACUCGAGCUAGCUCUUCAGAUGAUCUAUACAACCCGUUGAAGACGUGAAGCUGACAUUCUAAGUGAUAUUCCAGGAUUAGAUCUGAGAUGCUCGAUAAGCACCUGAGGUAGAGAUGAUUUGGAGAGACUAGUGCAGUUUCCUAUAUCUAGACCAUCAAGGUUCGGAAAUGCUCCGCUCUCGAAGGCAGAAAGAAGCAGCUGGUCAUCGCAACACAUUGAAAGCUCUUUAACUGAUGGGAAAUCUGACGGCAAUGCUCUCAGUUUUGGGCAUGAUUCUAUCCUCAGGUCCGAGAGAAGAGGAAAGAAUUCUUGCCCCGCAAAUCCAAACCACUCCUCCAGCUUAGACAUGCAUGAUAGUGUCAAUUUCUCCAAAGCCAAGAACGCACCUUUCCCGCCAUAAAACUCUGAGCCCAAGCACUCAACCUCAGGAAGACAAGAUAGACUCAGGACCUUAAGAGAAGGACACUGCCCAAGGGGCGGAAGACGCUUGAUAGCAAGAAGAUUGUCUAAAUCAAGGAUCUUAAGGUGAUGCAGCUGGAUGAGUUCAGGAAGAGUCUCAGAUCUAACAAAGGUUCCCAAUUUAAGCUCUACAAGAUUAGGAAGUGUCGACUCCAACAGCCAUCUUGGAAACGUAUUUCCCAAGAAGCCUUCAAUCUCCAAUACGGUCAAAUUUUGGUGUGGUUGGAGGCCCUCAAGAAUUUUCUCGGCCAACUCACUGUCGGUAUCCCACUCUUGUGCCAGAAAUGCUUCCAUGAUUUUGUGCAUGCUUUCUUCAUCAUUGUUGUUACUUGCACAUUCAUCUAUUAUCUUUUUGUAAGCAUUCAGAUCCCAUGACAAAUGCAGUGAUUGAAGAUUCUGCUUUCCGAUCAAGUUAGCCUCCUUCGCCUCUUCUGCAUUUUUCACAUUUUCCAGCUUUCUUAUAUCUAAUCGGCCUUUAAGAUUGAGUCGGUUGAGCUCUCCAAGGCUGCACUUGUUCCUUCCACCAGCCACAAAGAUCGGUAGUGUUCGAAGGCAACUCAAUUGUCCUAUCCCUGAAGGCAUACAUGUCAGUUCAUAGCAAGCAUAUAUGUCUAGAUGUACAAGGCUUGCCAUGUUUUUCAUGUUUUCCGGAAGUUUGCGUACAAAGCAACAGUGUCUAAGUCCCAAUGAUCGAAGAUCUGAGAGGCAGCUAACGGAUUCGGGCAACUUUUGGAUGCCAGAAAUGGAGAGGUCUAAGUUUUGCAAACUUCUAAGACGGCCGAUUGAGGAUGGUAAAGAAAGAAGGCGCGAACAGCCACUAAGGUCCAAUUUAUAGAGAUUGAAGAGGUCACCAACGGUUUCUGGCAAUGCUUGUAGACUUCGACAACUUGCUAGGUUCAAGAUCUGCAGAUUCUGAAGGAGGCCAAUUGAUGGUGGAAGGUUUUUAAGGCUUGUCAAUGACAGAUUAAGGUACCUUAGAUGCCGAAGAUUUUUAACCGAAACUGGAAGUUUUUUCAUGGGGUAGUGGGCAAGAUGAAGUGAUCUUAGAAGCUUCAUGUUAGAGAAUAUAAUUUGAAGAACCUCGAGAAUCUUAUUGUAGUCGUCCUCAUUUUUGUUUAGGCGCAUUAACCUGCUAUGUGGUGCAACUAAAUAUAAGGUUCGCAACUUGUUUGCCUUAUUCAAAACUUCUAGAAUCGACGAUAUUGGCUCGUUUUUGCAGAGAAAUGAUGAAUAACGUGUGGUUGAAGCAAUGUCUCUUUUGGUACCACUAGGGUCAACAAUCGAG
rnacentral:lncRNA from 1 species